rnacentral:lncRNA from 1 species
AGCAAUAUCCAUCGGUAUGUGUACAGUAUGAUAUACCAAUUUUAAGAUAAAUAUCUCUCCCUGAUCUCCCUUUUUAACGCAUCCAUCACUAAUUAUUGCUUUAACAAUCAUGCAACUCAAUUAUAUCACUGAAAGUCAUCACACCUUUUAUCAGCUACCUAGUAUUCAUUUAUAUGGUAUACUUAUCGUUUUAUCUGAUGUUGCUUUUUAUUACUUUUGGUACCAUGGAAGUUGUAAUUUAUAAGUAAUCAUUGUUAAAAUGUAUUUGUGGUUGUGUUUGCUUAAUUGUAUCAGUAAAUUCUGUGAAGAUUUUUUAGUUAUAAGUGCAAUCUUGUCACCUGACCUGAUGGCAACUGAAAUGUUGAAAAGUCAACCUAUUUAACCCCUAUUUGAGAGUGCACUCUAGUAAUUUCAAUCGUUGUUAACAAAAAGCAUAAAAGGAAAAGUAGAUUUCUAAUUUAUUUAUUUAUUUUUGUACAAGUGCAGUAAAACCUGGAAUGCGAUUCCGUGAAGUUGGUGAAGUCAUUAAUCGCCAUGUAACUAUGUCGGGAUUCUCUGUGGUAAUUUGUAGCCUGAGUUUUGAGUUGUGAUGCAUUUUCAAUUUUAACAAAUCAUGCCUAUUAAUUUUGUAUUGCACCAACAGGUGAAAUCAAUUUGUGGUCAUGGUAUUGGGGAGCUUUUUCAUUGUGCACCAAAUAUUCCCCAUUACACAAGUAUGUUCAACAAAGAAACUUCUUUAUAUCUGAAUUACACUUUUAAUAGCUUGCACCUUUUACAUACAUUACCUUUACCCAAACAGGAAACAAAGCAGUUGGUGUAAUGAAAGCUGGACAGACUUUUACAAUUGAACCCAUGAUAAAUGCAGGUAUAUUUCAAAGCUUGUUUUAUGAGCACAUGGGGGGUGAUAUGUUCGUUAAUUGUUUGCUACAUCUUAAUAAAAUAAAUAAAACAUGAACAGGGGUUUGGCGUGAUCGGAUGUGGCCUGAUGGAUGGACAGCUGUUACAGCAGAUGGCCAGCGCAGUGCACAGUUUGAGCACACACUUCUGGUAACUAUGCAGUUUAUGUUCUAUGUGUAGCAUGCUUUCAACUUCUGCAACGGUGACUGCAUUAUAGUUAUUGGAAGUGCUUAUGCGGUUUUAAUACUCAAAUUCCAUGGAAUGAUCUCUACAUGUUCUUUUAACAUUUCUUCCAUAUGUUUCUUAUAAUAUCAUUAGUGAGGUUUGUUCUAGGGUAUAAAUCAGUCAGCUCAUUUGUGUAAAAGAAAAUAAAUAAGUCUUCUACUCAAUAUAGUAACGAUGGAUAAUACUCGAUUAUUGAUGGUAUGAGGAUAGUAAAGGUGAUAGAGAUCUUUGCAGCGGGAGAUUUACAGGAUUUAGAUAUCAAAUUAUCCCAACAUUGAAUUGCAAUGCUAUGCAUCUAUUAACAAAUACACUAAGUAAUAGUUGGCGUUGCAUGGAUAUUAGUCCGAGUUAAUCCUUGUUAUUCACAUUUGUUUGCUGAAUUGCUAUCUAUACGAUGAUCUUGUAUCUCUAAUCUCAUGGUUUAUUCUUCCUACACAUGCAUAGGUGACAGAGACUGGAGUUGAAGUUCUUACAGCUCGGUUGCCAUCAUCACCCAAAGUGUUCCCUUGGUUAAAUGCUUAAUGACUGCGUCCGUCUUGGUUCAUCGAAAGAAGGUGAACAGGUAAGGAUGUAAUUCAGGAUGUAAUGUUACUCCAUGCAUUAGUAAAGAAGAUAAUCAUUGUGUAACUUUACUUCUUAAGUUUUGGUUAAAUUAAAAAUGAAUUAAGUAAAUUGUUUGUAAUCGUUAAUUGAAGCUUAAGAAGUUUUAUGAAAUUAUUUUUGGUCGUUUGCAAGAGUUCAUGAAUCAUUCAUGAAGAAUUGUAUCAUUGUGAAGGAAUUGUAUCGUGUCCAACAUGUAUGAUGCCCAACUGCUUGUGAAUUUCUACAGAGUUUGCAUUUUGGGAAAUAUUUUGUGCUAAUGAAGCAGUGUGAGCCUUCUUGAUGCCGUAUUAUUUCACUUUUAUUAUCUGUUGUACUUUCAGCACUGCAAAAAAAUUAACAUUUGCUAUUUAUCUGAAUGUGAGACAAUGUUAUUAUACCGUUUUGAAUAUGUUCAAGAAGAAUUUUCUGUGUUCAGUUUAAAUUUUAAUUAAUCUUGCUAUGGCAUGUAACUCUUAAUUUACUAAUAUUAUGAUGUUCUUGUCAUAAUCGUUUUGUUAGAUUGCAAGGGAGGUUUUAGAAACCGCUGCUCGUGUAAUACGGCCUGGUAUCACAACAGAUGAAAUUGAUCGGGUGGUCCAUGAGGCUACUAUUGCUGCUGUUAUAGACUGAGUUUCCAUUUUAUUUAGAAUUUCAAUUACUAUGUUUCAUUGUCUAUUAUUGUAAUUGUCUAUGCCUUUACCUUUCAAGUGUAUGGCCAAACCUCAUUGAUCUGUCAUAUGCUUUGGAAUGGCCAUGUGGUUAUAAUCAUUACUAUCUGCAUUUUUAUAUUGUUCAGAAUAAAAAAUUGUGGGUGUAAUGAUGUUUCACUUUUAACUCAAUGCAGGUGGAUAUCCAUCUCCUCUCAACUACCAUUUUUUCCCCAAGUCUUGCUGCACGUAGGUACUUUUUGCGUAAAUAUUUUUGUGAAGUUUCUUGAGAUUGUGUGGUACUGACCUUGCAAUUGCGUCUUGUUAUCUCUCUUCAUUGCAGGUCAGUCAAUGAAGUAAUUUGCCAUGGUAUUCCUGAUGCCAGGUAUGCGUAUGAGAUUUUUUUUUUUUAUUUGAGAUUUUGUUUUUAUUUUUGUUUGGAGGAUAGUAUUGAAAAGGAAUAUGGACAUACUCUUACUGUUGCCUAUAUAUGUAUUUAUUGAAAACAUUUGUUGGUGUAUGUUGUAAUUUUGUUUCUUGCCAGUUCAGUUUUCGGUCCUGAAAUACUAUUGUUAUGGAACAACACUUUGGUAACUUUAAUGAACUGGCAUGAGUUUGUAUUGCGUUGGGGUACAUUACCUGGGAAAACGCUUUGCUUUUUGCCUGCAUCUUUUUCUUUGUGUUUAAAUUGGUCCAGAACUUGAAAUUUGUGUCUACUUUAGAAUAGUAAAAUCCCUUGGUUUCUAGCAUUAUGACCUUUUUAUGUUUAAUGUGAAACUUUUGCUCCAGGAAAUUAGAGGAUGGUGAUAUAAUCAAUGUUGAUGUGACUGUGUAUUAUAAAGGCGUCCAUGGUAAUUUGUAUUCUAGACAUUAACAUGUAGUUCAAUUUUGAAAACACAUGUUCUUUUCUUGAACUGCCGAACUCAUAUUGCAGGUGAUUUAAAUGAAACAUACUUUGUGGGAAAUGUUGAUGAAGAGUCUCAACGGCUAGUCCAAUCUACUUAUGAGAGCAUGGAGAAAGCAAUAUCCAUCAGUACGUGCACAGUAUGAUAUACCAAUUUUAAGAUAAAUAUCUCUCCCUGAUCUCCCUUUUUAACGCAUCCAUCUAAUUAUUGCUUUAACAAUCAUGCAACUCAAUUAUAUCACUGAAAGUCAUCACACCUUUUAUCGGCUACCUAAUAUUCAUUUAUAUGGUAUACUAAUCGUUUUAUCUGAUGUGCUUUUUAUUACUUUUGGUACCAUGGAAGUUGUAACUUGUAAGUAAUCAUUGUUAAAAUGUAUUUGUAGUUGUGUUUGCGUAAUUGUAUCAGUAAAUUCUGUGAAGAUUUUUUAGUUAUAAGUGCAAUCUUGUCACCUGACCUGAUGGUAACUGAAAUGUUGAAAAGUCAACCUAUUUAACCCCUAUUUGAGAGUGCACUCUGGUAAUUUCAAUCGUUGUUAACAAAAAGCAUAAAAGGGAAAGUAUAUUUCUAAUUUAUUUAUAUAUUGAUUUUUGUACAAGUGCAGUAAAACCUGGAAUGCGAUUCCGUGAAGUCGGUGAAGUCAUUAAUCGCCAUGUAACAAUGUCGGGAUUCUCUGUGGUAAUUUGUAGCUUGAGUUUUGAGUUGUGAUGCAGUUUCAAUUUUAACAAAUCAUGCCUAUUAAUUUUGUAUUGCACCAACAGGUGAAAUCAUAUUGUGGUCAUGGUAUUGGGGAGCUUUUUCAUUGUGCACCAAAUAUUCCCCAUUACACAAGUAUGUUCAACAAAGAAACUUCUUUAUAUCUGAAUUACACUUUUUAUUGCUUGCACCUUUAACAUACAUUACCUUAACCCAAACAGGAAACAAAGCAGUUGGUGUAAUGAAAGCUGGACAGACUUUUACAAUUGAACCCGUGAUAAAUGCAGGUAUAUUUCAAAGCUUGUUUUAUGAGCACUUGGGGGGUGAUAUGUUCUUUAAUUGUUUGCUACAUCUUAAUAAAAUAAAUAAAACAUGAACAGGGGUUUGGCGUGAUCGGAUGUGGCCUGAUGGAUGGACAGUUGUUACCGCAGAUGGCAAGCGCAGUGCACAGUUUGAGCACACACUUCUGGUAACCAUGCAGUUUAUGUUCUAUGUGUAGCAUGCUUUCAACUUCUGCAACGGUGACUGCAUUAUAGUUAUUAGAAGUGCUUAUGUGGUUUUAAUACUCAAAUUCCAUGGAAUGAUCUGUACAUGUUCUUUUAACAUUUCUUCCUUAUGUUUCUCAUAAUAUCAUUAGUGAGGUUGUUCUAGGGUAUAAAUCAGUCAGCUCAUUUGUGUAAAAGAAAAUAAAUAAGUCUUCUACUCAAUAUAGUAACGAUGGAUAAUACUCGAUUAUUGAUGGUAUGAGAGGAUAGUAAAGGUGAUAGAGAUCUUUGCAGCGGGAGAUUUACAGGUUUUAAAUAUCAAAUUAUCCCAACAUUGAAUUGCAAUGCUAUGCAUCUAUUAACAAAUACACUAAGUAAUAGUUGGCGUUGCAUGGAUAUUAGUCUGAGUUAAUCCCUGUUAUUCACAUCUGUUUGCUGAAUUGCUAUCUAUACGAUGAUCUUGUAUCUCUAAUCUCGUGGUUUAUUCUUCCUACACAUGCAUAGGUGACAGAGACUGGAGUUGAAGUUCUUACAGCUCGGUUGCCAUCAUCACCCAAAGUGUUCCCUUGGUUAAAUGCUUAAUGACUGCGUCCGUCUUGGUUCAUCGAAAGGGGUGAACAGACAUAAGGAUGUCAUUCAUGGUAAUCAUGCAUUAGUAAGAGGAGAAGAAUAAUCAUUUGAUAAUGUUACUUCCACUGCCUCUUCUGCUGGGUCAAGAUAUCAUGUGUGUAACUUACUGGUUAAUAUAGUUAAAGAAAGUUUUGGUUAAGGAGCAAUAAUUUUUUUUGGUCGUUUUGCAAGAGUUGUAUGAAUCAUUCAUAAACAAUGGUCAUUGUGAAGGAAUUGUAUCGUGUGCAACAUGUAUGAUGCCCAACAGCUUGUGAAUUUCUACGGAGUUUGCAUUUUGGGAAAUAUUUUUGCUCGCCAUCCUUUUAAGUGGUUCUGUUGCCAAUUUCAGACACAUAUUGCAAUCAAAAUACGAUGCAACUCGGGGCUGAGACCGUGGAAUUCAGGAAGAGUCUUCAUCUUCAUCAUGUUCAAAUUUGUCAUUUUCAAGCACUGAUGAGGAAUCACUAUCAUCAUCAUCGCCAUCAUAAUCACCAUCUUCCGUCUGUUCAUACGAGUUAAAAAUCUUUUGGGCCAACAGGUAAUACAUGAGUUUUCUUGCUGCGUCGUCGUCGUUAGAAGCCAUGAUCAUGGUAAACAAGCAAAUAAAUUAAACAGGAAGAAGACUUGCAAGGCAGAAGUAAACGAAAAGAGUAUAUUAACUAGGAACUUAGGCUUUCUGUACUACAGAGGCCCCCGAUGUAUGUAUUUAUAGGGCAGGGUAGGUGAGACUUCUGUACUUAAUGAAACCUAAUCGGACUAGGAGUCUCGGACUAUUAAUAGUAAUGGGAGUGGGAUUUCUUGUUUGACAAGUUUCCAAAUCCGACAUGCAAACGGUACCACAAAUUACGGGAAAUUUUACUUACUAUUCUUACAUAAUAAUAAUAGGGUGAACUGUCGAUUUUGUCCUUGAAUUAUCAUGUCAAUGAAAAUGAGGUGCCUAAAUUAUUUUUUCAAUAAAAUAAGUCUUUGAAUUCAUUAAAAAUUGCUAAUUUCGUACCUAAUAUUAUACUUAAAGCUAUUUUAUUAUUUUUUUCGUCAAAUUUAGUCACAUGACAUAUUUUAGAGGACAUUGACACCAUUUUCUUGCCCAUAAGCUCUUAAUGUUGUAUAUAGGUUACAAAUCUAAUGUCUAAUUUACACUUCAAAAUUAAUUCCAUACACUAUUUUUCUAAAAAAAUAUGUCCUUAAACCAUGAAAAACAACCAAUCUAUUUUCUAAAGUGUAUCAUAUGCAAGUCACGUUAUUUAAAUUGAUGAAAAAUUGAAUAGAAUAGAUUGAAAUUUAAUAUUAGGGAUGUAAUGGGUAAUUUUAUUAGUUUGAGGACGGAUUUUUCUGAAAAAAGUAAUAAUUUAGGGACUUAAUUUUUAAUAAGGUAAUAAUUUAAGGACUAAAUCAACAGUUCACCCAUAAUAAUAAUUGCUUGGGACAAAGGUGGGAUAAAGUAAUUAGAACAGCUGAUAAUUGUACAAUGAGAGGCUAUUCUAGUUUUAACCUUUAAGCAAAUAAACAGUUCUGAAUAUGAAAGUUGUACAGUGAAAACACGUUAAUGGUAAAUAAUGGACAAUGUGGUAUUGUUUAUUGUAAUUAGCAGCUUGAGGCUACAAUGCGGGAGGCUAAAAUUUCUAAUUUCCUUGUCCUUGUAAGUAUAUAAGUCAGUCCUUAUCAACCACCGUGUACUUUCCUUUCAAUUAACGUGAGCAUGCAUACAAUAAAUACAAACGAUUUUGCCUUAAUUUCCAAUUUCUUUUUGAUAGAAUUAUAUUCGGGGGUGGAUAUCAAGCCAAGCUACAAAACCGAUCGGCCAUAAUUAGGUAUCAAACUUGUUGUGGAGCCUAAAAUAAUCUCAAAAAUAUUAGAAUCGACACGUGGACUUUUGUUCAAGAAAGACUAGAUUGCUCUAAUUAAAUGAGUAGACUUCUCAGAUACUCCCACACACAACUCAGCACCCCUAAAGGUCCAAGCAGCUGAAUACGAUUGCUUACAGCUCACUUGCCCAUUGCAAGGAAAAAUGAAAGCAUUAAAGAUGAGGAAUAAAUACCCAAAUCCUAUCUUUAAUACAUUUCCAAUUAAAGAUUGACUCCAUUAAAGUAAGUAAUCCUUAUUUAAAUCAAUUAGGGAUAUUUACACUAUUAUCUCAAGAUAUUAUUUCAUAUUUAAUAUCUUGAGAAUAUUCUCUACAUAAACCUUGGCCAAUAGGAUGUUGCCAUGUGUAUGGUAAAACCCUAACACCAUGGCUGACCCUUCCUCUUAUAAAUACAUCUAUCUCUACCAAAUUUCGGUAAGUUUUUGCAACCCUUAAAAGCCCUAAACACUUACUCUUUUAAGAGAAACUAACUUAGACAUCAGAGAUUCAUUGACCUAACCUCUCUCCUCCAUGCCUUAUGGGCACGUGAGGCUUAGAUCUUUUAUCAAAGGUGUUGAUUGUUUUGCAAAUGCAUUUUCGUCAAGACUAAAGGCGAAAAUUUGCAUCGACAAAUUGGUGUUUUCGUUGAGAGCUGAUUCAAAUACUCCAAGAUGACUCUCGCAUUUGGUUUCUUGAAUUUUCUACUAAGUUGAAUUCCUCACUUGUUUAUCAAUUAAUUUUUCUUAGAAAAGUUUAUUCAUCAAUCCCUUAGAAAGGAUACAAUGGUAGGAAAUUCAGAAACUACGACGACGUACAUUUAAGGAUUUGGACAGGAGAACGGGGACGAGGAGCGUCAUCGCUGUGGAGCCACAUUUGUCGUGGCCACCACUUUGCAACGCACGACAAGGACCACUGCAGCAGUAGCCCAAGUUGGAGCCUAGACGCGUGCGAUAGUGGCUCACCAUGCUGCGCAGGAGCCUACGGCCUAAGGGCCAGAAGGCCUACAACGUGGUAGUUACAACAGUAGACUUAAGCUAGGAGGCCCAACCCAUUGCAACAGCCAAGCUGCGAUGGCAGCUUAAGCCAGCGAGAAGCAAGCAGUAGCCCAGCGAGUAGAAAGGGCUUUCGGGUAGAUGGCCUAAGCCCAGCCGCCACCAACCAAGCCAAGCUCACCACCAAGCAACGACCCAUGUUUAUGUGCUGGUCCAUGGGUAAGAGGCCCAUACCACAUCAGCUCAAGCCGUUAGCCAAGUAGCUCAAGCUGUAGCAGCUUGAGCCACAAUGGCCUAAGUCUAGGACCAAGCCCACUUCGUUGUAACAGCAGCCUAGGCCUGCAAAGAGCAGGCGCCAGUCGAAGUUGCGACGCAAGCAGCGCUAGCCCAAGAGCAGGAGGCCCACUCGCAAGCAAAAAUGGCCCCAACACACAGCCCAACCAGCUAGGUAGGUUGGCCCACCUUGAGACCUACUUCUGUAACCCAGAUUGGCUUAAGGCUAUUUUAGGUGAUCCGAAUUCUGACCAUCAGAUCGAUGAUCAACCCAAAGGUAUUUUCACCCUAUUUUUCAGCAAGUAUGCCCGCUUCGGGCCUAAGUUUUGUACUUGCAGUUCAUUACGCUUCCACCACAUAUAGAGACACCUAUCAUCCAGACUAUUCCACUCCAAAUGGCGAACAUCACUUCGCCAGCAGGUUGUCGACCUAACCAACACCCUCGCGUAGCAAACCACCUUGGUGAAUCAGCUUUUUGAGCACAUUGAGGCACAGUGCGCCCCAUACAAGGUGUCCCGAAGCAGGAUAAGGGCAGAUGAUUGUAACUUUUUCCAGCGACGUCCUGGCAGAAAGUCGUUCAGCCUGCCACGAACCAUGUGUUCGGGUAGUGUACACUCUCAACUUGGCCCUUAGAAAAAUGUCUUCUUCUGCCUUAAUGCACAAAGAAACAUUCAUUCUCGACUUAGCCCACGAGUUAGUGUGCAUUCGAGGUUCCAAUGGGCUCUUUGGACAUUUUAGGUGAAUCGUCCAUAUAAGGUUAAACCCACAAGGAAAUCCUAAUGCUAGGCAUUAUAGUAGGCAUCUGCAAGAUAAAUCGAGGAGAGCAUGAGAGCAUUUCAGCAAAAAUUCAACUGGUAACCCCUGCUAAGCAUGACUACGAAUAGCUUGCUCACCAGCCAGAAAUGAACCGCAUACACCGCAAUCGUGGUGCAGAUGAGUAGGACAUGUGGAAGAGCAACAUAGAUAGAAGGUCAACACUAAAAGCAGAGGCAAAUCCAUAAGGAAGUAUAAAGGCUCGUAGCAGAGCAGCUGCACGGAUUCUAGAGCAUUGAAACCAUUGAAGAAGCUUAACCCCGUUAGAAGCACAUCCAAAAAAGAUCUGAGCAACCCUAGAUAUGAAAUCCCUCACUACUUUAAAGGAGAGCAGUAACACUCAAUCAUUUCCUCUUACGACCUAACCAGUGAUGCAAGCUUUUUUUUCAUGAUGAUUAGGAAUACGCGACGAGAUAGACGAAGUGCGAGAGAACAUUCUAAGACUUGAAGAAGUACCUAACAUGACUUCCUCUACUAUCCAACCAGGACGCAGAGAGGGACUUGUACAUCUAUCUGGUGGUAUCUGAAGCAGUAGUGAGCUCUACCCCUAUACGAGAAGAGCUGGGGGCUCAACUACCUGUAUUUCACAGUUAGAAAGCUGUACUUUUAGACGCAUGCAAUCAUUGUCAUGACCUAGUAUUUCAUACAAUCUAGACACGCUAUGAUAAAGGUACAUACAUCAAUAUACAUUCCGACGAACGCAACAACUUAGCCCAAAGCCACGCUGGGGGCAGAUGAGCACUAGAAGGAUGCAUCAACUUAACCUGCAAGAGAGUUCCUUCAACUAUCGGGAUCAGAAGCAUGCCUAGUCCUCAUUACCUAAACGAUUCCAUAUAUGGAGCAGCCCAACGCCAGUAGUCAAGCACUAUCUCCCGUUGCGCGCAACUUAGCCCUAUAGCGGCCCAAUACUGAUAGUUGAACAUUACCUUCUACCGUGCAUAACAUGGCCCAGCCGGCCUCAACUCUUUAGCUUUUAGCUAUGCCUAUCAUGCACAAUGGUUGCCAACCAUAAUAAACUUGUCAUGAGGCUCCCCGCAGCGUCGACCAGGCUAACAACGUUCCGAGCUUCAAAACAUCCAACAAUGUAGUAGAAUAUAAGGCUUUACCAGCAGCCCCUGGCUAGUGAAAGACUUAGAGGUGAAAAAGCUCACAAUCCAUUCAGAUUCAUUCACAACGACGAUUUCUAUGCUCUCCAGUGUGAGAGGGUUAUUUCAGUUAUCCAGUAGUCCAGCUUUCUUCAGCUACAUUCACAACGAUGAUUUCUAUGCUCUUCAGUGUGAGAGGGUAAACCAAUCCCCCGACACCCAUCUGCUUAUGCUCUCUACUGCGAGAGGGUAAACUAAUUCCUCGACACCUAUCUAGGUUUGCUCUCCAGUGCAAGAUGGUAAACCAAUUCCCUGACACCCAUCUAGGUUUGCUCUCCAGUGCGAAAGGUUAAACGUAUUCCUCGACACCCAUAUGGGUUUUCUCUCCAACAUGAGAGCGUAAACUACUUUAGAAUAUCUAAAUGUGGAUGGGUUGUUAGACUACUUAGUUACCCUAAAAUCUUCGACUACUUACGCUGGGACACUUCUAAAAUUGGCCACAAUAAAAUUUUUCCUUAAAAGACUUAGCCAAUUGAAUGAUUCAAUUCUGCGGGAACCUAGGUCUUUAACCAUAAAAGACACUAAGUGCAGGAUCCCUGCCUAUGAAAGAUUUGCAUGACUAGAUUGUAUGCCCACGACGUACAAUCUUCAUGAAUGUAACUCAGAUAUAAAGUGUUGUAAUACUAGUCAAGCAACUUGCAUAAUCAGUUUCAAUUGUUGCCCAAGAGAUCUGUAUCGAGCUAGGUGUAACUUAGAAGAUCAAGGGGCCAGCAGCUCGGAAGGAUACGGCCACUGAGUUACGAUUUCGCAUACAACGCCUCUGAAAGCUAUGGCUAAUGCCUAAAGUGGUCAUGCAGGUCGUUUGCUUCUUAAGUAAGACGCCUGGCCGAUGACCCAAUGACUGGCUACCCUUGGUAAUCUGUAAACCGAGACUUACACCUACUAUGACUACGCGGACCUACCUGCUUAUUUAAAAGUGGCACUUCUGACUGACGGUUUAUGAUUUAAGUUUUACAAAAGUUAAAGCUGAAAUGUAUAACUACAGUGGCUACGUGGAUUCCUCUAUUUUAUACGAGAAGCAUGUAUGGCCACUGGCUCUAUAAGUUAGAAAUUUCACAACAUGCCUUGGGAAGGCCAAGGCUCAUGAAGCUGUUAAAGCCGAGAUUCACAACUGUAGCAGCUAUGCGGACUUGUCUGCUUUCUACGAAAGCCACAAGUGUGGCCGCCGGCUCUAUAAGUUAGAAACUUAGCAUAUUUUCUCUUGCACGUAAAGCUCAUUGAGCAUCAAAACCAAGACUAAAGCCUAAAGUGAUGAUGUGGGAUCGACUGUUUCAUUGAAGUAGCUAACCCAGCAGCCCGUCCUACGAAAAUUUUUUGCAAGUCGCCUCAAGCAGGCAAGGCUCCUGAAGCCCCGAAGCUAAAACUAAAACCUAACUGAUGAUGUGGGAUCGACUGCUUCCUCGAAGUAGCUUGCCCAGCUGACUGUCUUGCAGUAAAGUUUUGCAAAAGAUAUCGCGAAAUAGCAAGGAUGAAGCAAAGCAAGGAAAAUUGUUUAUUAAAUUUGUAGCAAAUUGAUAAAUCAGCUUGAAGGCCAACAAGGUUCAAAUAAAGCAGAACGAAAAGGAAAAUAAGAAAAUUCCUAAGUCUAAGCAAAAAGACUACUCAUUAGCAGCUUACAUAAUCAUUGGUUUCUCGACUGCCACGCCUUUAGCAAGCACACCACUCUUAACAGCCAAAGCUUCCAUCAUCUCAUCCUCAACCGCCCCUACCAAACCCUCAGCUGCUCUACCAAAGGCAACCUUAAACGAGAAGUCAAUCAGAUCAACUAAAGAAAUGAAGAAAGUCUCGAAGUCCUUCUCGGAAAAUUCAUAAUUUGACAGCCUACCCUAGAUAUGGUCUACAUAGCCAAAAUUGUAAAAAUUGACCUAAGAUGAAGCAAACACCACUUAUGAUCACAUUUUCUCAAGGAGUCGAGCAACCUAUGGUGAUAACUCAGUUGCUCCACACCACACGACACACCUGACUAGCCCAUGUCAGAUUCAGGCCCCUAGAGGGAGCUCAAGCCCCAUGGUUCACUUUGCAUUGUGCCCUAGCGCCUCAAGUCGUAACCUCAACUACAUAGCUAUCUUUGGCUCCAGUUGAGUUGAGCAGCCCAACUCGUGGCCUCUACUAUGCCACCUCCUCGACCCACACCGAGCCAACUUUUGGCCCUUGCAUGUCGACGACUGCCCUUAGUAGCACGACCCCAACGACUGCCCCGCGGCAGCACCACCCAAAAAGACAGAGAAAAUUACCUUUUUCAUACCUUGGUGCAGCACAAAGAAGAAGAAGAACCACGAGAAAUGACUCUUUGCAAGGGCAAGAGAAGAAGAUAGUUAGGGGAGGGAGAAUAAAUUUCCUCUAAUUUCUCUCUUCCUUGUUGGAAUGAAGAUUGUUCUCCAAAUUUAUUUAAUCCCCUGCUUAAGGCAGAAUUAAUAGGUAUUGGGGGAAAUUGGUUUCCUUUUCCUAGAAGAGUCUAUCUCCAAGUCAAAGAAGGAGAUCUACAUCAAAUUGGAAAACAACUCUACACACCCAUGCAGCUUAGGACUUCUACACCAAUUGCCCAUUUUCUACAUGUAGCCUAGAAUGUGUGGGGGCAUUUGUGGAGCUUAAAAUAAUUUCAAAAAUCAUAGAGGCGGCAAGUGGACUUUUGCUUCAGAAAGACCAGAUUGCCUUCAUUAAAUGAGCAGACAAGGAAAAGUCAAAGCAUUACAAAUAAGGAUUAAUUACCCAAAUCCUAUUUUUAAUACAUUCACAAUUGAAGAUUGACUCCAUUCAACUAAGUAAUCACUAUUUAAAUCAAUUAGAGAUAUUUACACCAUUAUCUCAAGAUAUUAUUUCCUAUUUAAUAUCUUGAGAAUAUUUUAUCUAUAAACUAGGGCCAAUAGAAUGCUACCAUGUGAAGGGUAAAACCCUAACACCAUGGCCGGUCCCUCCUCCUAUAAAUACCUUCAUCUCUACUAUAUUUCGGUAAGCUUUUGCUACUCCUAAAAGCCCUAAACACUUACUUUUUUCAGAGAAACUAACUUAGGCAUUGAAGAUCCAUUGGCCUAACCGCCCCCCUCCACACCUUGCGGGCUCGUGAGGCUUAGGUCUUUGAUCAAGGAUGUUGAUUAUUUUGUAGGUGCAUUUUUGUCAAGACUGAAGAAGGCAGAAAUUUGCAUCGACACUUGCCACUUAUGAGAGUUGAACAUGAGAAUUCUUACUUGUAAGUGAAAAGAGACUGCAAAUUCAACAAAAACAUAAAACAAAAAGAAAGAAGCAGCAAAAUAUUAGGGAGUGAACUAACGAAGUGAUUUGUAAAGAUAUUGAAAGUUGGUUCAGCUAGCAUACUACUUACAGAGUACAGAAUCUAGCUUCUUUCUGAGCUUAACAGUAAUUGCAUCUACAUCAACUAGUAAAAAGAAUUACAUAAUAAACUAAUUAAGUAAAUAAUAUUUUUGCUGCUUUAAUCGAGAGGAUGAAGCCUCGUUGGUCCUGGUGGCAAAAAACUGAGGACUUUGCUGCAGUAAAUAGGAGUGAUCAAUGAAUCAGUCAGCUUACUCUUGCAAACACGACACUCCUUUGAAAAGCUGCAGAUGUUCAACCAAGUGUAGAGACAAAGGUCAGCAGUAAUGCCCGCAAGAAGUCACAAUUGGAUCUUGUGCCAAUUUCAAACACAAAUUGCAAUCAAAGUAGAAAGUAAAUCGCGGCGGAGAGAGUGGAAUAUGAGGAGAGUCUUUAUCUUGAUCAUGAUCUUGAUAAUGGGUAGAGUUUGAAUCAUCCAAAAGCAAAGUGAAACAAUCGCUUUUCCAGCUAUUGGACUCAAGUUCUUAUUCGUAUGUGGUACUGGAAAUAUCGUUUGAAGGUUUAUUAAAUCCCAUGCAAAGUUGAUCACGGUUAUCUUUUGGGACUAGCGCUUCUGUGCACAUAUAGUGACAGUAAGGAAUCACUAUCAUUCUCAUCAUCUUCAUCAUAAUAAUCAGAUUUCGAGAAUGACAGUGAAGAAUUACUGUCAUCAACAUCAUCAGAAUCAUAUACGACAAACGCAUUUGUGGCUUGCAUAUUUGUGUUGCACUGUGGUUAUUGGCUUUGGUUUCUGGGAUUAAUGUGGGAUGGAGAAUCUCAUGCAGCAACAACAAACGCAUCCGCGACAUUAGUACUUGUGUUGCACUGUCUUGGCUUUAGUUUCUGGAUUAAUGUGGGGUCGAGAAUCUCAUGCGGCAACAAGAAAUGCAUCUGCGACAUGAGUACUUGUGUUACGGUAUUGUAGUUGGAGAAAUAGAGAGUUAAGCAGCAAAGAAACAGAGUUAAACAGCAAGAAGGCGUGAAAGAAGACUCAACAAGAAGAGAAACUGUUAACUGGAACCUAUUGUAAAGGGACCCAAUGUAUAUAGGAAAAGUGGAGAUGCUCUCCUAUUUAUAGGAAAAGUGGAGGCUAGAAACUAGUCCAUGAUUGGUUGACAAAAUGGCGAGAUUACCACCAAAUCCGAAAGCGUAAAGGCCAAGUUUAUGCAUGCAAGCGGUGUCAAUUGCAUGAUAAACACCUUGACAUCUCAUUUGCCACGUACAGCCGCAAGACUGCUCACAAGUAGCUCUAAUUCAAUCCUAAAUCAUUUCAUGCCACGCCUAGAUUGUAGCUCCCAACAGUCAACAACUAGGGUGCUUAUUGGGCACAUCUAGAACAACGUCAUAAAAAAAAAUAGGAAUAAGGUUGGAAAGAAAAUCAUGCGUUUAAAAUGUAGUAAUUGAAAAAAAAUCAAAAUUAAUCUUAUGAAUAAUAUUUUUAGAUAAAUAUAUUUUCAAAAUAUAGGUUCUCACAAGAGAUUAUUUUAUAAAGUCCAAAAAUUCUUCAAAGCCUUAAAAUGAGUUAUAUUCACCAUUUUUUCAACCUCAUAUAAAGCUCAUCACUAGAAGUGCUCUAAGAAUCAGAUCCUGCUACUGUAGAAAUAAAACACAUGGGCUCACGGUUAGACUAAAGUUAAAAACAUAAUAGGAGACAGCUUUUCAGAUUAGUGAAGGGACAGGGAAGCUUUGCAGAAGGGAUUCUACAAACAAUCAUAAAAACUUAGGUAAAAACAAAUUUGGGCCGUUCUUCAAAAAAAAAAGAAAAAAGGGCCGUGGGGCCCGGGAAAGAUUAAAGUUAAAUACAUGGAUUAUUUUAAUUUUUUUGGAAGCUAUUAUUAGAUCAGUUUUGUUACCUUGUACAGAUAUAUAAUGUAUAAUCCGUUUUCAGAAAAUGGUAUUCAGAAUCAGUUAUCAUAACAAAAUUAAUUAUCAUAAAAUGAUAUUAAGAAUCAUUUUUCGUAAAAUGAUAUUUAGAAUCAGUUUGCACAAGGGAGUAAUUAGAAUCACUUUUCAUAACGUUGCACAAUGGGCAUAGUAGUUCCCUUAAGUAUAAUGUUGAGAUUUUAAACAUCAAAAUUCAUAAUGUUGCACGAUGCGCAUGGACGUUACUGAUUCAGUAGCAAAAUGUCGAUAAUGCAUACACUUUGAUUGUCGGCCAUGUUUGCUUCAACUUGAUAGUUUUCCGUACACUGAAAGGUUCCACAUCAGAAGCUUGUCACUGUUGACAUGAACCUGUUUGUUAAUGGUAGGUAAACAACGUAUCUAACGGGUUAAUACAAAAAUUUCUAAGUAAAACACCGAAAAAGUAACUUUCAUUGCCAGGGCAGGAGCAAUCUUACCAAUCCCAUUGAAAGGUGUUGUUGCAGAUGUAGACGGAAAGUAUUGGCCCAUCCAACUUUUGAUGUCACAGAUGGUAAUAUUCAUGCCUUCAGCAAAAAACCAGGCAGAACGGUUUUGCUCAAAUGAUUGAAUGAGAAGCCGAAGAAAGAGUACAUACGACCACAAGUAAAAUCCUUCAGUCAAAAUGGCAUGCAUCCUUCUGAAUACAUUUGUUUCCUGAGCAGAGGGGUUUGCUGCCAUAAUUUCCUUCAAAAUAGGAGCACCCUCCGUGUUGAGAAUUAAGCUGCCUACUAGCCUUGGAGUUAAUCUGCAGAAGCUAAAUCUGCAGUUGAAAUCGAAAGGAAGCUGAGAAGUUUUGAAGAAAUGAAGAACUUGCUAAUUUAGAAGGAGCCGUUAGAUUCAAAUUACAACUGCUAGUUUCAUUUCCAGUUUUAGAAAGAUUACAGCUGGUGUUCUUAUCUUUUUAAUUGUACUAUGCUUCCUCAUCUUCUUCCAAGUGGAUGGAUGAUAUCCUUCGAUAACCAUUAAUGGCCGGAGAUGAGUUCUAGGUCUCUAGAGUGUAGGAUCUGUUUUUGACCAGCUGUGAGGAAUAUAGUCCUUGUAAUCUCUUUUGUUCUAAUUAAUGAAAAACACAGACUCUUGCUCCCCACUCUCUCUCUCUCUUGAAAAAACAGAGAUUUCUUCAAACUACUACUGAAAGUUUCAACCUUUAUAAAAAAUUAUCAACCUAAACACCAUGCCUGGUACAAUUUCAAACAUGGUAUCAGAGCACUAGGUCUGAUUCCGAAGAAAUGGCGUGAUACUGUGAGAGAGAUCCAUUAAAAAAAAAAAUUCAGAAAACCUUAAAGGUGGUACCUUUAUAACCAUUUGAGCUGUGUUACCUGAGAAGAUGGCUGGAUCAAGCUCAUCCGGUGGUGAUUUAUGAACACCACAAUUUAAUGGCUCAAACUACGAUUUUUGGGCCGUGAAAAUGGAAACCAUUCUCAUAGCCUAUGAUCCAUGGGAUGUGGUUGAAGCUGGCCUUGCUGAACAACAAACUCCCAGAGAGGAAGUUUCUAAGGAAGAAGGAGAAAGCGAGUCAGAGCACAUUCCAGUUGAAGGACCAGUUGUCUCAAAGGAGAAAAAUAUCAAGAAUGCCAAGGCUCUAAGUCUCAUUCAAGGAGCAAUCACUGAUGAACUUUUUCCUAGAAUUCGGAAUGAGAAGACUGCAAAAGGUGCCUGGGACAUCCUGAGAAGAGAGUUCAGAGGAGAUAAAAAGGUAAGAGCUGUGAAAUUACAAGCCAUUAGAGCUGAUUUUGAAUAUCUAAGGAUGAAUGAUGUUGAAUCUUUGGAUGACUACCUGGCUCGGUUCUUUGAGAUAGUAAACAACUUGAAAUCUCUAGGAGAAGAUGUAACAGAGAAAAGAAUUGUUCAAAAGCUGUUGAUGAGUCUAAGUAGGAGAAAUAAGUCCAUAGUGUCAAUCAUUGAAGAAACCAGAGAUCUAGACACUAUUAGAGUUGAGGAAGUCCUAGCUUCAGUGAAAGUCUAUGAUAAAAGAGAAGAUUUGCAUGAUGAAAGAGAUAAAUACACAAGUACUGAGAGGGCUUUCAACAGUCUUAAAGUUAGAGGAAAUGGAAAUAGCACUGGAAAUUUCAAAGGGUCUCAGUACAAGACAAAUCCAAAAUGGAGUCAAUAUAAGAAGGGAAAAAAUUGGUCUCAAAAUGGAAACUGGAACAAUACCAGUGGUUCAAGCUGGAACAACAACUUUGCGGGAAACUGGAACAAUAAAUCCAAUCCACAGAACAAGCAAGGGAGUAAUAGUCAAAGUGGUGUAAAACCACAGUGCCAAGUCUGUGAGAAAUACCAUUUUGGUGUGUGCAGAUAUAAAGGAAAAGCCAAGUGUGGAAGGUGCAAUCGAUUUGGUCACUUAACUAAGGAUUGUGACAAUGGUAAACAAGUUGCAAACUGUGCAAAGGAAGAAGAUGCAAUCACAGCAACCAUGUUCUAUGCUUGUCAUGCAAGUUCAAUUGCAUCAAGCAGGUCUGUGUGGUUUGUGGAUAGUGCAUGCAGCAACCACAUGACCUCUCAAGAGUCCUUAUUGAUUAACCUUGAUAAGUCAGUGACCUACAAAGUAAAAAUGGGCACUGGAGACCUUGUUCAAGCCACAUGAAAAGGGACACUUGUAGUUAAGACACGAAAAGGGAGAAGGUACAUAAAUGAAGUGCUGUUAGUUCUUGGAUUAGAUGAAAAUCUACUGAGCAUAGGGCAAAUGAUGGAGCAUGGGUACUACAUUCUAUUUGGAGGAAACUAUGCAUUAAUAUGUGAUGAUAGUAGUCUUGAUAAUGUUGUUGCUAAAGUUGCAAUGACUGGAAAUAGAUGUUUUCCAUUGUCUAUGGAAUCUGUCAACUCAGUGGCAAGGAAAGCAGCAAUACAAGAAGAUCAAUGGGUUUGGCAUAGAAGAUUGGGCCAUUUGAACUUUACUAGCAUGAAGAAAAUACAGCAAACACAAAUGGUGUUGGGUUUACCUGAUUUCUCAGAAAAAGAAGGAGUAUGUGAAAGCUGUGUGUAUGGUAAAAGUCACAGAGAACCAUUUGAGAAUGAGAAACCUUGGAGAGCAAACAAUCCACUUGAAUUGGUGCACACGGAUGUAUGUGGUCCAAUGCAAAAUGAGUCCAUUGGAGGGAACAAAUACUUCAUCCCAUUCAUUGAUGAUUACUCAAGGAUGUGUUGGGUAUAUUUCCUCAGAAACAAGUCAGAUGUGAUAAAUGUGUUCAAAAAAUUCAAAGCAUUUGUUGAACUUCAAAGUGGAUUCAAAUUGAAGAAACUAAGAAGUGACAGAGGUGGAGAAUACACCUCACAUGAAUUCCUUGAGUAUUGCAGUGAUCUUGGCAUGGAGAGGCAACUGACUAUUGCCUACUCACCUCAGCAAAAUGGGGUUGCUGAGAGAAGAAAUAGAACCAUUGGAGAAAUGGCAAGAUCAAUGAUGUCUGAGAAGAAAAUUCCUGUCAAGUUUUGGGCUGAAGCAGUUGGCACUGCAGUGUAUCUGCAAAAUAGGUGUUAUACCACUGCAGUCUAAGACAAAACACCAUUUGAAGCUUUCAUAGGGAGAAAACCAGGUGUAAAACAUCUGAGAGUGUUUGGAAGUAUCUGUUACAGUCACUUUCCAUCAAAUCUUAGAUAGAAAUUUGAUGACAAAGCAAGCAAGGGAAUCUUUAUGGGGUAUGGCAGUUGUGAGAAAGGCUACAUGAUCUAUAAUCUUCAAACUAAGAAGAUCAUACUCUCAAGAAGUGUUGUAUUCGAUGAGAACAAGUCCUGGAAUUGGGAAAGCAAGCAAGAUGAAACUGUCUACAUGCCUCUCACAAUUGGAAAUGAAAAUUCUGAGAUAAUUGAAACUGAAGAAUCCCCUCAUGAAAUUCACAUCAUUGACUCUCCAAAUCUCAUUCAAUUAGUCUCAGAUGAUGAAUAUGUCCCUGGAAGCAACAUUGCCAGUACCAGUCAAGGUUUAACACCAAGCAAUACACCAGUAAAGCUGAGAAGCUUGGAGGACAUCUAUGCAAGAUGUCAUAUGACCAUUAUUGAACCUGAAACCUAUCAUGAUGCUAUUGAAGAAAAAGCAUGGAAGGAAGCAAUGGAAGCUGAGAUUGAAACUAUUGAAAAUAAUGGAACUUGGGAGCUGGUGGAGGCCUGCAGACAAACCAGUCAUAGGAGUCAAAUGGGUGUUCAAAACCAAGUUGAAUCUGGAUGGAACAGUUCAAAAACAUAAGGCUAGGUUUGUGGCAAAAGGGUAUGCCCAGAAACCUGGUAUUGAUUAUAAUGAAACAUUUGCCCCAGUGGCAAGGUUAGAUACAAUUAGAACCUUGAUUGCACUUGCAACACAAAAGGGUUGGAAGCUGUUCCAAUUAGAUGUUAAGUCAGCCUUCUUGAAUGGAGUACUUGAGGAGGAGGUUUACACUGAGCAACCAGAGGGUUUUGAAGUUGAAAAUGCAAGUCACAAGGUCUAUAAGUUAAAGAAGACUCUCUAUGGUUUGAAGUAGGCUCCUAGAGCCUGGUACAGUGAGAUUGACACUUAUCUCACUAGUUGCAAUUUCAAAAUGAUCACCAGUGAGGCUACCUUAUAUACCAGAACUGAUGAAGAAGGAAAUCUGAUCAUAGUCUCUAUAUAUGUUGAUGAUAUAGUGUACAUUGGAAGCAGCAAUACAUUGCUCAAUGAGUUUAAAAGAGACAUGAUGCAAAAAUAUGAGAUGACUGAUUUAGGACUCUUACAUCAUUUCUUGGGAAUGAGAGUUCUACAAACUGAUAAAAAGGGUUUUUAUUCAUCAAAGCAAGUAUGCAAAGUCUUUACUCGUAAAGUUUGGCCUGGAGGAUUGUAAGUCAGUGACAAUUCCUCUACCCACUGGUGAGAAACUGAAGAAAGUUGAUGGAAAUGAGUUGGCUGAUGAAGGUUUGUUUAGGAAAAUUGUUGGCAGUCUGUUAUAUUUAACUGCAACCAGGCCUGAUAUAAUGUAUGCUGCCAGUUUGCUAUCAAGAUUCAUGCAUGGUCCCACGAAGAAGCACAUGGGAAUAGCUAAAAGAGUUCUUAGAUACAUUUAAGGUACUUUCAGCUAUGACAUUGAAUUUACAAGGGACAAGGAUGCUGUUUUGAUUGGAUUUUGUGACUCAGAUUGGGCUGGCAGUGAAGAUGACAGUAGGAGCACAUCUGGGUAUGCAUUCAGCUUUGGUAGUGGUACAUUUUCAUAGGCCUCAGUCAAGCAAAACACAAUUGCAUUGUCAACUGCAGAAGCAGAGUAUGUCUGAGCAGCUGAGGCAACAGCUCACGCUAUCUGGUUAAGGUUUGUGUUGGAUGAUUUUGGUGAAAUGCAAACCGAAGCAACACCAUUGUUUUGUGACAACAUGUCAGCAAUAUCGAUGGUAAAAAAUCCGGUCUUUCAUCAGAGAACCAGACAUAUAAACAGGAAAUAUCACUUUAUUCGGGAAGCAUUGCAGCAAGGAUCCAUUGAUGUGAACUGCUGCAGAAGUGAAGGACAGUUGGCAGAUAUAUUUACAAAAGCCUUGCCUAAGGAUCGAUUCAAUUACUUGAGGAUGAAGUUAGGAGUUAAGCUAGUAAGCAGCUUAGGAGAGGCUGUUGAGAAUUAAGCUGCCUACUAGCCUUGGAGUUAAUCUGCAGAAGCUAAACCUGCAGUUGAAAUCAAAAGGAAGCUGAUAAGUUUUGAAGAAAUGAAAAACUUGCUAAUUUAGAAGAAGCCAUUAGAUUCAAAUUACAACGGCUAGUUUCAUUUCCAGUUUUAGAAAGAAUACAGCUGGUGUUCUUAUCUUUUUAAUUGUACUAUGCUUCCUCAUCUUCUUCCAAGUGGAUGGAUGAUAUCCUCCGAUGACCAUUAAUGGUCGGAGAUGAGUUCUAGGUCUCUAGAGUGUAGGAUUUGUUUUUGACCAGCUGUGAGGAAUAUAGUCCUUGUAAUCUCUUUUGUUCUAAUUAAUGAAAAACACAGACUCUUGCUCCCCACUCUCUCUCUCUCUUGAAAAAACACAGAUUUCUUCAAACUACUACUGAAAGUUUCAACCUUUAUAAAAAAUUAUCAACCUAAACACCAUGCCUGGUACCAUUUCAAACACUCCGACCUCAGAACAUGAGAGUUGAUUGUCUGCAUAUCUUCGUCCAUAAAGAUAACCCUUAAAAAAUGAUCAGCAACUUCCUUAUAUUUUUUAAGAACCUUAUUUGAAAGUCCAACCUCUGGCCGAAGACAAUAGGCUUUAGUUGGUGUGAUAACCAACCCCCUAACUUAAAAAAACGUCAUCCAAAUGCUUAGGAUCCUUGAAAAGCAUAUGAUUCUUCAGCAACCAAUCUUGGACAACUUUAAGUGUCUUACAACAUCAAAUUCUGGGUGGUUGUAAGUGCGCAAGUGCUUCAAUGCAGUCACAUUGACAUAUUUUGGUUGGCUCCUCAGUAAAUCAAAGAAACAAUCUGACAACUGGUGCUGAUUAAAAAUGCUUUUGUGCAUUCUGCAUUAACCAAGAACAUUGCCUCAAAGGAAAUAUCAUCCUUGUAAUGAAUACAGAAGAAAGGAUCAGGAGCAGGCAUUCCAAAAUCAGGUUCAUCCCAAACCUUAGGAGGCUAUCUUAAGCAAAUCUCCACCACCAUGUGUUCUCUAAAAUAACUCAUGACCUUGUUUAACUUUGCACCAUGUCGGGUGGGUAUUGAAACUUUGUAAAAAUUGCAACGCCAAUAGCCCCACUAGGAGUAAACUUUCUGGUCAUAAUCCAAGGAUCGUCAUCAUCUGACAGAUCAUAUGGGAAUGGUUCGACAAUGUCAUCAUCAGCAGUUCUAUAUGAAACUAAGGGUGAUGAAGGCUGUAGAAUUAUCAAGAGAAACGGCCAUACCGCCCACUUCCAACAACACCGAUAUUGUCCCCAACUUGGUAAUUACCACCUGCACAAUCUGUCAGGUGUGAGGUUUUAUCACAAAAGGUCUCGGUAUUAGUUGGAGUGAGAUUAGAGUAUUUAAACUCUUCUUUUUGUUAUUGAUAAGGUCGAUGUGGGACAUUUCAACACGCCUUCUCAUGUGAGACCCAAUUAACAGGUCACAUGUGGAAGAUCCACACAUCGAUAACCAUGUGGAGCCAAGGGGACUUACCUUACACGCGGGGCCAAGGGACCCACCAUCAUAGCGCGGGGCCAAAGGGACCCACCCAUCACGUGGCAGUACGGUACGGGCCCGCUCAUUGGUUCUGAUACCAUGUAGAAUUAUCAGAGAAACGGGUCAUACAGCCCAUUUCCAACAACACCGAUAUUGUCCCCAACUUGGUAAUUACCACCUGCACAAUCCUUCAGGUGUGAGGUUUUAUCACAAAAGGUCUCGGUAUUAGUUGGAAUGAGAUUAGGCUAUUUAAACUCUUAUUUUUGUCAUUGAUAUGGUCGAUGUGGGACAUUUCAACAAAACCAACAGUAACAAAAUUACAUGACUUGUGGUAUGUGUAUUGCUGGAUUUCAGAAAUGUCUCUUACCAAGAACUGUACCAUAAAAUCACAUUUGAUUACUGCAUGCUUCCCUGUCCCUUUAAAUGAAAAUGCAGUGGUAAAACAAAAUUUGCACGUUCCAACCAGACAAACCACAAUAAAGACAGUAGCACAAGGAGAUCCUCUCUAAGCAACAAAAAAUUCAUCAACAGCAUGAGGAGGUCUUCUCCAAGCAACAAAAAAUUCAUCUUGGCAAACUAAAUUUCCAAUCUCAAAAAGUACAUCAGAUAUCAUUACCGGCAUAUACUUUUGAUCCUUGAAAUAUUGAUUCUCAGAGCCCAAAAUUACUUUCCACGGUUUAUUGUUGUAAAAAAGUUGAGAACGUCUUGCUGCGUCCAUAGCAUAUUUCACUGAAUCAGGAAUGAUAAAAUGCACAAAUGCAUGAGGCUCCACCAUGACAUAAACAUUUCUUUCUAAAAUACUGGAAGUAUUAAUGAUUGAAACAUCUGGAAAUGAGUCUUCAAGGGUCCAAGAAGUUUUCAACCACCUACCUACACUCCCAAUGUUAUUUUCCAACUACAUUACAAGAUCACUCACCUUCACAUGCCUACCAAAUCCGCCAAUGCAUAGUUGAGUUACCGCUUCAUAUUCCAUUUUCUCUACAAUAUCCAAUAAAAAAUAAAAAUGAAAAUGAAAAAUCGGAUCCGUAAGCCUGAUAUUAUACGUGAGUAGAUACAGUAAAAUAGAAUAAUAUUCAUACAGAAAGAAUAAUAUUCAUACAAAAAGCUCAACCAAAGUCAUCAUCUAUAACAAAAAACCAAUAAAAAUAGUAGGGUAACGCAAACUAAAUGACAUAAAAGUUGAUAAUUGACUUAUUUCUUAUAGAUGACACAUCAUUUAGUUUCCAAAUUUAGUUUACCUACCAUUAAGGCUCCAAAUUCAAUCAGUAAAUCAAACUGAAUGAAAUAAUAACAAACACAAUACAAGCCAACAAUAUGGUUAGACUACCUUCAUAACAGACUCCCACACGCACAACGCAAAGUGUUGGUGAAACGUCAUGUAAUUCAAUGAAGAAAGGUGAGGUUCCAUGGCAAAGCUAAUAGGCAAUAUGGAGAGUAGCCCAACCUCUUAUAAGCCCAAGUAAGGUUCCUCCUACCAUCUAUGUGAGAUUCAUAUUCUCAACAAACCCCUCACGAAUUUUCAAGCCUAAUACAUGGACAACACAAUGGGGUGACGUAGAGCGCAUGUUUGGCUUGAAAAUUCACCACAUGUGAAGGGGUGUGUUGAUAAUGAAUCUCACAUUGAUGAAGGAGGGACCUUACAUGAGCUUAUAAGUAAGUUGGGCUACUCCCCAUAUUGUCAAUUGGUUUUAUGGUGGAACCUCAACUUUCCUCGUUCAGAACAUCAUAUGUAACCAUGAAGAACACUUAACAUUAAAUAAUCAAAAUCGGAAAAGAAAAACAAAACCAUCUUCAUCUCCAGCACAACAAUCUAAAUAAUGAACCGUGAAGUUAAACUAACAAAAAUACAUGAUCAGAUUCAUCAGCAAAAAGAAAAACAUGUUUAUAAAAAUCCGAAACAAGAAAUUGACAACAAAAAAAGAAAGAAGAAAAAACCCUUGCCUUCUUUAAGAAGUUCCUGUUUUGUGACUCUGAAUAGAAUGGAAAAGGGAGAGUGAAGAAUUAACGAAGAACAAAGGCAGUCAGUGAAGAGUUUGAUGAAACGCCACAGUGAAAACGUGUCAACUUUGAUUUAUUCUUCAAUCUUUUAAUGGGUACUUGUUAGUGCAUUGGAAGCCGAAACACCCUUACAUGUUGUUGAUCCUAAAAACUAUCUAGCCUAUGUAGUGCAUAACUCGAGUAAUUAAUGGGCUAAUUAUGUCCUUCGGUCAAAUGCGAGGCGUGCCAACUUGUUAGCUGUAGUAAAAUGAAUGUUGAUGUGGCGUUAGGCGCGCUGCUGACUUAUUGAUCUCGUGACUGCGGCCGAAUAAGAAACAUAUCUCAACCUUCAGGUUCUAGAGCCUAAAGACAAGGAUGCUAGUUCUACAAAGUUCACAUAUGGCUUUCAAUGAGCCGAAUGUAGUAACUUGGUAACACCUCACUUCACCGAGAAGGUUGAUGAAAUGACAUCUUCCAAUAAGGACUUGGAAAUCCUUGUGGAUCGAGACUUGGAUAAAUAAUCAGUCGGUCUUGAAGUAGUGCUAUUUAUCCAAACUGAAGGUGCUCAUCGAUCGACUGAUUCUACGGCUCCAGUGCUAUUUAUCCAAACAGAAGAUGUUGCCGGUUGCCUCCACAAUGCUGUUUAUCCAAACUGAAGAUAUGUUGGCGGGAAAAAAGAAAAUAAAAUUCUUAAAGUCUUAAAGAGGUUGUUUGCAUAGGGCAGUUGUGUGUUGAUUUAGAGAGGCCCUUGUAAGGAAUACAAAUACACCAUAGUCAAAAAUCACAGAAAUGCUAACAAGUCACAAACACAAGAACAUCAAUUACCAACAUAAAGAUAAAUAUGAAAGACAUACAUGCAGCACUAGAUGAUGAAAAUGAUGCCAUGAUAGCCCUAUGAAAACGGUUAACCUUAUCUCUUUGCAAUACCACGAGUGCUCUCAAACAAUAAGGCUUUGACAAAGAAUGAGCAGGGUAUUGCGAGAGCAGUGAUUAACAUUUAUAUUCUCAAUGUUCUCCUUAUUGAUCUUUUAUUAGAUCAGCAUAGAACACAAACAUCAUAGUUUGUAUCAAACAUGUGUAUAAACACAUUCCUAGUACACACAUGAGUCCGUAAAACUUGGACCACAUUUAGAACUAGUAAUCCUAUAAGAAACAGGUUUACUUAAAGCUUAUUAACAAGACUUCUCCAUAUCACAUUCGGACACUAUAACCGGCUCCAAUGUCAUGUUCAUACUCAUACUCUAACAUUCUCCCCCUUGAGUAUGAAACAUCCCACUUGAGUAUGAAACAUGACAACCAGUUUUGUUUGAAACAUGGAAGUGUUCACCAAGUCUGAAUUAAUCAUUAAGAUUAUCUUCACUCACAAGUCUACCUAUACAUUUCUAACAGAACUCCAUCUGCACACUUACAUAAUUUAUUCUGGAAUACAUAACACUCAAUUUGUACUUGUAACCAUGUGAAUCUUGUAGCAAUCUCAAAUUAUAUUACCCCACUCAUUCAAGCUAAUCUUAACCUGUCAAAAUCAAGAGUCUGAGUAUCAACUAAUAAAAGUUAACCAACCACCAUUCUUACAAAAGAACAGAACAAUAGUUCUCUAAAAAGCGUCAACAAAAUCUCAAAUUGAUUUCUUGCAAUCCAAAAUAUCAUAAACAAAAUAGUCUUUUGGAAUAAUAAAUCAGCCAAAAGGAAAAAUUGAACACUAACUGAAAAACCAAAAGAAAACCUCAAGCUAGAAACUAACUGAGUAACUCAUACUAACAACUAACUAAACAUCUUAAAGUCUGUAGCUCCAGUAACCAAGCAUUAUUGAAGAGGCAUCAAUAGUAGUCUCUACGAAACAACAGCUCCAAUCAUCAUGAAUAUAUAGCCACUGGGGACUUUCUCUCAUCCUUGUUUGCUACAAGGUAUGAAUAUGUAAAAACAGUCAAUUCCAAUGAAUUCUCUCAACCAUACACCACCAUAUGCCCUUUUGUUCUUUACAAAUACCUUAAAACUUUCUUUGCAUCACCCCAAUAAGCCUUACCUGGAUUUGAUUGAAGCAUGCCUAAUAAUAAACCAACAAUGAAUGCCAAGUUUGGCAUAGUGAAAAUGUUAACAUACAUAAGGCUACCAACUAAUGAAGUAUAAGGCUUUGAUUAACCUCAAGUUCAUUCUUAGGACACUGAUCUUUGCUGAAUUUAUCUCAUUUGUUAACUGGAACAUCUGCUUUGUUACAAUUCUCUAUGUUGAAUCAAUUCAGUACCCUUUCAAUAUAACCUCUUUGAGAUAAACCAAGAAGUUUUAUGUUUCCAUCUCUCACAAUUUCGAUUCCCAAAACAUAAUGAGCCUCACCUAGGUCUUUCAUAUCAAAAUUGGUACUAAGAACAACCUUAGUUUCUUGCAGUAACUGCUUGUUUGAACUAGCAAGGAGAAUAUCAUCAAAGCAAAGAAUUAGGAAAAUGAACCUAGAGCCCUUGAACUUAAUAUAGAUGCAGUCAUCUAAUUUGUUUUCUGUAAACCCUUGUGUAAUAAUUACUUGAUCGAACUUGAGGAACCAUUGUCUUGAAGCUUGCUUAAGUCCAUAAAUUGACUUAUUAAGCUAACACACCAUAUAUAUAUAUGUGUGUGUAUGUAUGUAUGUAUGUAUGUAUGUAUGUAUAUAUGUAUAUCUUCCAAUAAGUCCCCAAGCUGUUUUCACAUCCAUUUGGUGCAAUUCCAAAUCAAAGUGAGCUGUUAAUGCCAUGAUGACUCUCAUUGAGUCUUUGGAAGAAACCAGUGAAAAUGUAUCAUUGUAAUCUGUACCGUCCCUUUGAGUGAAGCCCUUUGCUACUAACCUAGUUUUAUACCUCUCAAUUCUUCCAACAACAUCUCUUUUGGUUUUAUAAACCCAUUUGCAUCCUAUAGGCUUGAUUUGUGAUGAAGAAUCCACGAGGGUCUAGACAUUGUUCUUGAACAUUGAAUCCAAUUCUUCCUUCAUUGCUUUUUGCCACAAAAUGACUCGAGGACCUUGCAUUGCUUGAUUGCAAUUCACUGGAUCAUCUAUGUCUCCUAAAUCAAACUCAGCUUCUUACAAAUAGACAUAAUCUUGUGAGAUAAUUGGCUUUCCAACUCUCUCAGAUUUUCUCAGUGAGGGUUGGACAAGUAACUGAUCUAAAUCUCAAGUAUGAUGAGCUUGAACUUGAAUAUUAUGAUAAUUGAACUGUUCAUACAAUUCUUGAAUAUCUGGCACAAUCAUAGUUUCAUCUAUCUCAUGGUCUGAGUCACAAGUAGAUGCAGGUAGCUUUGGCGAUUUGGAACCAAUUCAUAAUUCAUCAAUGAUGAAGUUCCAUCUAGUUGCUCAAGUUCUUCAAUAACAAAACUAUCUUGAACAAGGUCUGAUACAUCUUCAUCCUCCAUAAACACUACAUUGUGAGUUUCUUGUACUCUAGUAUGUGCUUGAGGGCAAUAGAACUUAAAGCCUUUUGAUUUUUCAUAAUAUCCAAUGAAAAAACAUGAGUGGCUUCUGGAAUCCAACUUCUUUUCAUUUGGAUUGUAAAGUCGUGCUUUAGCUAUGUAACCCCAAACAUGAAAAUGAUCAAAACUAGGUCUUCUACCUGUCCAUAUUUCAAACGGUGUCUUUGGAAUUGCUUUCAAAGGAACUCUAUUCAAAAUAUAGUUUGCAGUUUUCAAAGAUUCUCCCCAAAGAAACCCUUGCAAUUUGGAUCUAGAAAUCAUGCUCCUUACCAUUCCCAUCAAUGUUCUAUUGCUUCUCUCUGCUAGUCCAUUCUGUUGUGGUGUCCCCGGGGUGGUAUAUUGAGCCACAAUGUAUGAAAUCCAGUCCCCGGAUUUCACUAUUUAAAGGUACGUAUUUUUGUAUUAUUAAUUUCAACACAUUUAUAUAUACGGUGUAUGUUUUUUUUAGAAGCCCCUCGAUUGCGUAUUGUUGUAAUAAAAUAUAAAAUAAAAACUAGAGCUGCCAACUAGCAGCUAAAGAGAAAAAAAAAAGAAAAGAAAAAAAAAUGAGGAGAGGCUGCCUGAUGGUAGGGGAAAAAGGAAAAGAAGAGUGAUCGGAGAAAGGAGGGAAGUGGGACGAAUCAGAGGAGGGGAGAGGAAAGGAAGUGCCCAAUCAAAUAUGGGGAGAUAAAGGAAAUGAGGGAAGGUGAGAAGGAGGGGGAAAUCAGGUUCCCCUUAACCCGCGCCACCCAACCCGUUUUCUCCAUAUUUUCUUGUGGUUUUCCAUUGAAUUUCCAGCGAAUUGGACCAAUUUAUCAUGCCAAUCAUCAUCUCUCCACUCUCUCUUCCAUUUCCACCCAAAAUCUACCUCGCUUGAGUUCCGAGGGUGUUCUGGUGAAAUUGGCCGAUUCCAAAGGGUCCCAACCACCACCGCCGCCACCAAUAGGCUCCCCUCAAACCCAAGAACAAAGCCCAAGCCGUGGUAAAGGCGUCGGAGCUCGCAUGGAGGCCGAAUUGAAGAACACCCAAUUCUAGGGUUUCGGUGGUUCAUAGGCGAUUUAAGGUGUUUCCUGGCUAAUUGGACUUGGGGUUUCGGUGGUUCAUAGGCGGUUUAAGGUGUUUCCUGGCUAAUUGGACUUGGCCACAAGCAUGAAACUUGCUCCACUCAUUGAGAUAUACUUGCCUGUAAAAUUUGGUAAUUUUUGAAAAUAGUUGAAUUUUUCCGGCUAGUCGGGGCGGCCUGUGGGCCGAGACCCCAUUGGUUCUCCUAAACUAAUUUGGAUACCCUGAUUCCAUAUGUGACGUUUGAUUGACGAAAUCUCUUCGUAUGACUAUAGUUUUGAUAGAGACCGCCACUUGGACAUUAAAUGAAUCGACGAUCCGACCAUUGGAUCGUCACCAAACUUUAAUAUGUUAUAGUAUGUAAUAUUUGAGGACACUAGGAACUUAUGGAUCGAGAAUAUUACAUACUGAUCUUCCUGAAUAGGAUUUGUAAGUUAGUAAAAUAAAACAUCGACCGCCACUUGAAUUCGUGAUUGGCGGAGAUCCGACCGUUGAAUCGUAUUGAAAUAUUAGUACGUUGUUCUAAAAGCAUAAUGUGGACUUUAGGAAGUUACGGAUCUGAAAUCCAAUGGGCGGAUCUUUCGAAUCGAAUUAUGUAGAGUUGUGGACUCUACCGUUGACCGAGAGUUGACUUUUGGUCAACAUGUCUCGAAACGUUCUAGAUGCUAAAAUUUAGUACCAUGGGAGACUAAGUGAAGUUUAGUGGGCCUACAUUGGUUAGAGAAUGGUUUGAAAAUAUGUGAUAUGGUUAUUACCUUAAUUCCUCUUAUUAAUAUCAUUUGUGAAUAUGAAUUGGUCUUAUAAAUGUGAUUUCUAUUGAAUUGUGAUUUCUAUUGAAUUGUGAUUUUCAUAUAUUUAGCCAUAGACCUAUGUUUAUUAAACAUGAUUUGGCUUAUGUACUGAUGGUGGUUCUGAUAUAUGUGGGUUUAAUUAUCUUUUUUAGUAAUGUGAAUGAUGUGUAUAAUUAUUUUAUGACAAUGCGAUAGUAGAAUCAUAUUAGAAGUAUUUUGUAGAACUUACAUACUUGUGGGACAUAUUAGUUGGUGGCCAUGAGAUGUUGAUGGUGUAGGUGACUAUGUUGUAACUCAUAGGGGUUGAGGUGUUAAUAGGUUAUGUGUUGAAUUUACUGCACCAUGUAGCAGUGGUACAUGGAUGGUCCUGCUUGGUACAUCCGCGUUGGGGGAUGAUACAUAUUUCAGGGGUGAUCAUGCUUGGUAUAUUUGUGUUAGGUGAUCAUGGCCUGCACGAUUAGACUAUGCUUAUGGUCUUGCUUGGUUUAUCUGCGUUGGGGGACCAUACGCAUUCUAGAAGUGAUCAUGCUUGGUAUAUCCGCGUUGGGUGAUCACUACCUAGAGCUAUAUGAUACAAUUCUGCUUGGUAUAUCCGCGUUGGGGGACUGUCAGGGGUGAUCAGGUUUGGUAUAUCUGCAUUGGGUGAUCAUUGCCUAUGUUAUUAGACUAUGCAUAUGGUUCUGCUUGGUAUAUCCGCGUUAGGGGACCAUACGCAUUCUAGGAGUGAUCAUGCUUGGUACAUCCAUGUUGGAUGAUCACUACCUAGAGCUAUAUGACACAGUCCUACUUGGUAUAUCUGCGUUGGGGGACUGUUAGGGGUGAUGAGGAUUAGUUGUACUUGGCACAUGUGAAAUAAGUGAUCAUAGUUUAGUUAGAUUCUGUUGAGUGGUUCGGAAUCCUUGCUCUUACUGAUUUCCAUAAGGUUAGUCUAGAACCCUAGAUUCGAGUGAGUAAGAAUUAACCACAAUAGACCUUGUGAAGAUAAAUUAGAAUUACCAUGUUUAUUACUUAUAAUCCAAGUAGGGAAUUAUAUUGAGUUCCUUAAUUAAAUUCGGGAAAUUAUAUGUUAUUUCAUUGAUUGAUUAAUGUAGCUAGAUGUUAAUAUCGGGCAUCUUUGAUGUUGAUUAAUUGACGUGAUUGUGGAAUGAUGUUGGGUAUGAUUGAGAUUAUUAUGAUUAGAUUAGUUGAUCAUUGUGACUUGAGAAUAAUAUUGUGCUUCGUUGGUUCUUUGAUAUGUUACAUACUAUGAAUUGCGGUAUUAUGUGAAAGAUAAUGAUUUAUAUGAUGGAUGAAUUAGAAAGCAUCCGUGUAAGAAUGGCUUACCUGUGUGCAUGGAAAGGUGAUAAUUGUUGUUUGGCAUAAGGUUGAUGUGUAGUGUGGUACUCUAUGACUUUUGCUAAAAUUAUUCUAUGAAAAGAUUAGAGUUUGAAGAAUGAUGAUCUACGAAUGGCUUGAUCCCUGUUAAGGGUACGGAGGAAAUCUAACGAUGAGGUUAGAUGCAGCCAUAAAGUAUACGAAAAAUUAUUACGCAAUUUAGACCUUGAGUGGUGCUUAUUACAUAUCCAAGAGGCAGGGUAUGUUAGAUGUACGAGUAAUUGGUGACGUCAUGUGUCGAUCCUGGACGCAGGUCGGGAUUGGGGCAUGACACAAUGCCUUAUUGCUCAAGAAACAAGCAAAUGACCCCUUAUGUUACCUUUUUCUGUGUACCUACCAAAGUAUUCCACUCCCUUAUCUAAUCUAACAAUUUUAAUCACUGUAUUUAACUGUUUUUCAACUUCACUUUCAAAGAUUUUAAAGCAGUUAAAAGCUAAGGACUUUUCACUAAUAAAAAAAAUAUGGCAGUGCCUUGAGAAAUCAUCAAUGAAGCUUACAAAAUAUGAAUUCCCACAUAUGGUUUUCACAAGGAAAGGACUCCCUUUAGCAUCAAACUUUCUCACAUUAGUCAUUUUUCCCUUUAAGCAAUCAACACACUCAGAUGCAUUUUUGCUUUCUUUUAGUUGUAACAUUCAAAAUAUCAAGUGAUUAGCUAUAAUUGUGCACUCUAAUCUCCACAGAUGAUCAUGUAAGAAAACUUUUCCAAUUAAUGAACCUUUCUUGGAAAAUUUGAUACAAGUAUCAUCAUCAAUGAAAACAUAUUUCCAUUUAACCAAUUUUGAUGCAGAAAUUAAGCUUCUUCUCAUUGUAGGAACAUAUAGAACAUCAUUCAAUUGCAUUAUGAAAUCAAUGGUUAAUUUUAGUCUAACCACUCCUACAACUUCAACAUGCACUUUUGUUCCUUCUUCAACAAAGACAUUGAAAGAGUUGGUUUCCUUUUGUUUUUCAAAACCAUGCAAUGAGUUUGUGAUAUGCACUAAUGAUCCAUUAUCAAACCACCAUGAAUUACCAAGAAUUUCAAUAAGAUUCGACUCCUCACAGACAUAGACAUUAUCCUUUCCCUUAGCUUUUAACCACUCCUUAAAAAUUUCACAAUCCUUUCUAUAGUGACCCUUAGUUUUACAGUGAUGAUAUCUAACUUUCUCUAUGUUUUUUGUCUUUACAUUAAAAUUGGUAGAUUAGGGGAAUUGAAAUUUUUAGCACUCACAACAUUUAUCAUCAGGCUUGAAUUUAAAGGUUUUACUAGAAUUGAAGUUCUUUCCUUUGGUGGCUUGCACAAAAUUGAUAGAUUUAGCUUCCUUGUUAUUCUCUUGCUUUUGUCGAUUUUCUUCUUGCACACAUUGAGCUAUAAGUUCAUCCACUGUCCAAGUCUUGUCUUGUGUGUUGUAAGACACCUUCAGUUGGAUGAACUUCAAGGGCAAGGCUUGUAGGAUCAUAAAAACAAGUUGUUUUUCACAAUUUUCAUGUCUACUGAAUUAAGUUUCUCAGCUGCAUCAGUCAUUUUGAUGAUGUGGUCUCUAAUUGAUCCUCCUCCUUCAAACUUAUAAGUAGUGAGAAGAGUCAUGUGUUGAGAAACCUCUCCCUUUUGUGAUACCUUGAAUUUGCCUUCAAUAGCCUUGAAAUAAUUGUUAGAUAUAUGUCAACAAUUUGUGAUAAUUUAUAUAUGCUAAUAAAUAAUAAAUGCGAUAAGAAUUAACAGAAUAUAAUUUAGAAUACAAAUUAUAAAAACAGACAACUUGAAGAUCGAGGCUUGCGUACCGCAAUGUCCUUGAAACAGAAAUUUCAUCCCUACUCUGUGCUUGUAGUUCUACGGACGUCUGCUUCACCAGGAUUCAACGAUCAAGUUAAAAUUCCAGCACCGGAAAAUUUAAUUUCUGGCGAAUUUAGUGUGGUUCUCUCAGUAAGAAGGUUUAGGAAUGUAGAAGAUGAAGUUGAUUAUUUUCUAUAUUCUAAAUACCAUGCAGAUGGAUGUAUAUAUAGCAGAUGGAUGCCUGUUUGCAACAGGUAUGAAAAUGGGGUAUGACUGUUGGGAGACAUCUCUUCAGAGGGGUGUUUUGCUCUGUGUUCAAAAAGAACUCUCAGACUUCAUCUGAAAGGAUGAGUCUUUUCAUAAAAAAAAAAUAAUUAAUUAAAUUCGAAUUUAAAUAAAAAUAAUUAAGUAUUGAAGAAGUUAUGAACGUUUGAAGUUUACCUAGUUUCCGGCGAGUUUUCCAGUUUUCCCACUAACCAGUCAUCUUUCAGGCUAUUUUUCGGCCAUAUCGGGCAACCAUUGGGCUUCCAAAUAGGUAUAAUCUUGUUCUACACUUUCCUAUCUUCAUUUUGAUAUAUUACGGGUCGAAUUUGGUUAAGAAUCGAUUGAGUUACGAAGCUUUGAAAAUUGCCCAAAGAGUUUUUAACGGAAGGACCAAAAUCAUGGAUGGUGGACAAUCUUAGGGACCAUUUCUAUUGAUUAUGCAAAUCUCAGGGACCAUUUUGGAUAUUUAGCCUUGUAUCAAACAUGUGUAUAAACACAAUCCUAGAAUGCACAUGAGUCCUCAAAACUUGGGCUGCAUUCAGAACUAUUAAUCCUACAAGAAAUAGGUUUACUUAAAGCUUAUUAACAAGACUUCUCCAUAUCAAAUUCAGACAUUAUAACCGGCUCCAAUGUCAUGUUCAUACUCAUACUCUAACAGCCCUUACACGUUGCACAGCGCCUCAUAUUUAUAGCAGUGAAGUAUUUACUAGCCAAUCCAUGCAAUUCCGACCCAAAGCAGAAUACUCCUCUGAGAUAGCUAUCGCAUAAGCCUUUGUCAUCAUCUUGAUAUCCUGGAAUAGUUGGCAACUGCAUUUCUUUCUGUUCAGACUAGAUACACUAGUCUUAUGAUAAGGCUCAUAUUUAGAAUUGUUGCCAACUUCAAAUUCCUAUGCGCCAUGCACCAUAUCUUAUCACCCAUUCACCAGAUCAUCUACGAUUCUACAUGCAUGGAAAAUGGUCUCCUAAUUUCCUACGUACAUGCAUGAAUCCAAACAUUUUAUCUCCAAACCCACGUGCACCAUUUUGAAUGUGUGCAGCAUCAGGAUUACUACUUGGUGAUAAUCAUCACCAAUCUUGUUUAUCAAAUCCCACUUGUAGCUUUAUACCAUUCUGAUGAUCAACAAAUCCCUCUAUCAUCCAAAAUACAACCUGCAUGCAUGGUUUUCUGUUAUGGAAUACAAAUUCAGUCCUUAUCCUCAUUUAUCCCAAACCAAUUGGAUCGACUAAUAAUUAAUUUUAAUAGAAUACCAUGCACAAGUCAACUCUAUAAACGCCAAAGAUAUUUCCAAAGUAAUUACUAUAACAGUAAUUACAUGAAAAUUUCUUUCAUCUCCAGAGUCAUCCAACGACUUCAAUGCAACAUGCUGAUGGUGUAAAACUGGGUCCAAACACAUGUAUCUUUGGAGUUCCAAGCUAAUGCAUCAUCAAUGCAUGAGGCAAUUCCUAACUCCCCCCCUUCGGAACCGGAAAGGUUGGAUAAUUGUGGUUUGGCACUAGUUGUUUCUAAAUUUGGUAUUCUUCUCGUGUUUCCUUUGGCCAUUGAGUGACUAUAUAUUUUUUUUACAUUUUUCACACUUCUACAUUAAAUUAUUAAGAUUUUUUAUUAAUUUCGCACUCAAACAAUAAACAUUGUUCAUGAGGGGUUUGGAAAUCUUAUUUAUUAUAUAUUAGGACCCGUCCCCAAUUUUACAACAUUGUUCAAGAGUGAAUUGACGAAAAUGCCCCUAAAGGAAAGAUUGUUGACUUUGGUUGACCAUCAUUUUGUGACAAGUAUGAGCUGACCAUCAUUUUUUUGACACAUAUGAGCUACUAUUUUACCAUGUUUGCGUAGUACUCGUUGCUACACUGGUGUUAGUACUCGCCCGAGCUAGGGCUAGUCUUCAUGUGUAUGUUCACAUUGCACCGCACGCUCACUUUGGAUCCAUUGUAGGUGCCAGUCCUAUCCUAGAUUGCUAUAGACAAUUAGGACUCGUAUGUAAUGCGCAUAGCGCUAGUCUUCACGUGAUUGUGGUACUCGAGUGUAAAUCAUUAUUAAACCAGUCAUGUUCAUAUUAGAAUAUCUCUGCAUGAACUCAUGUGUUAGCAUAUGUCGAUGAGCACUUGAUAUGAUAUGUUCGUUUAUGCGAGAUAUUGUGAUUAUCGGAUGUUAUGUACUUAUUUACGAAAUAUUGUGAAGUAUUGCAUUCUCAAGAUAUUAUUGUUUAUAGUAAGUAUUUUCAUACUAUACGUAGUAUGAAAACUAUACUUGUUUUAUGGCAAUGAAUUAUUAUGUUUUCGAAAAGGUUUUACAAAACUUUAUCUCCACACCCACUCACUCUUAUUUUUCGCCCCUUCAGGUUUUAGUGGCAGAGCUAUUGUGUCGACAAGGAUUCUUGACAAAUAUUGGUAUAGGAGAUUACCUUCGAUGAUAUAAUUUUUAUCCUACUUUUAUUGUACUUCACUUAUGCUUUGUCAUCAUUUGUGAAAUUGGUUCAAUCCUGCUCACAUGCGUACUCAUGCAUUUAGUCACUUUUAGGUUUAAAUUUAUUCAUAUUUUCCACAUCACUACACUAUAUGGCUUUGUCAUCUUUCUGGUGUCAGCCAGCACAAUUCGAUUUGGAGUCCAGGUGGACAUUCUAGGUUGUGGUUAUGCCAAAUGAUCCUACAAAGACACAGGUAAGUUCAGGUGAGUUAUUAUGUGAUUGAAAUGGUUGAAUUAUAUGAGCAUGCAUAGAUUCAUUUAGAGCUCAUCAUUGUUGUACCCCCAAUGUUAGUGCUCCCACCCCAGGCUAGGGCACAACCUUCACGUGAUUGUUCACCUCCUGCACCGCAUGUUCGCCUCGGAUCCAAGUUAGGUGCUAGCUUGUCGUAUAGGUCACAUUAGGCGAGUCCGACUUGUAGGUGACCCGCGCAUAACGCUAGCUUUCACGUGAUCAUAUUCACAUUUUCCACAUCACUAUACUUUAUGGCUUCGUGACCUUCUUGGUGUUGGCCAACAUAACUCAAUUUGGAGUCUUAGUUGACAUUUUGGGUCGGAGUGUGUCACUACACCUUUUGGAUAAUCAUUUGUGAUAAACAUGUCAGUUUCAAUUUAUUUGUUCAAAAUAAUUAGAUUUAAAUAUUAAGUUCACAAUUUCAAUUUCAUUUGAUUCAAAAUUACUAAUUAUUGUUUCAUUUUUACGAAGAUGUGGCUAAGAGAGAAACAUUAUGCAACAAAAAUGGAAAACGUCUCCAAAUCCAUCUCCUGCUAAAAAGCAUGGAACAUUAGAUGAGAACUAUGCUUAAAUAAGACUAAAUCAAGUGGCUUUUGCAAAAAUGAUGCAACAAGUUAGCGAUAAAAAUUGCAGCGGAUUCUAAUUUUCUAUAAAAAAAAACAAAAUAAAAAAAGCCAUCUACCCUAAUUUUUUGGGAACUUUUAUGAAAAGGUCUUGGGCUAAGUUUAUUUUAAUAAAAAAUCAUGCAAUAACUUUAUUUAAUGAAAAAGAAUUAAAUUUUAAUGAAAACCCCUUAAAUUUUAAUAAAAAAGACAAAAAAAAAAAAAAAAAAACUAACGCGUGCGCAGGACCUGUACACUAUAUAUGAAACUGCAUUAUUUAUUGAUCCAAUUUCAUAAAUAGUGCUUAGUUUUUUGUCCACUUCCAUAGAUAGUGUCUAGUUCUUGAUCAUGUUUCAUAAAUAAUGUCUAGUUAUUGGAUCUAGUUUCAUAAAUAAUGUAUAGUAGUUGGUACAGUUUCAUUGAUAGUGUGUCUUUCUUGGUCCGGUUUCAUAAAUAGUGUCUAGUAUUGGUCCACUUUCAUAAAUAGUGCUAAGUUCUUGGAGUUCUUAAUCCAGUUUCAUAAAUAGUGUAUAAUCUAGUUUCAUAAAUAGUUUCCACCUAUUGGUUUAGUUUUGGAAAUAAUGCCUAAUUCUUGUUUUCGUUUCAUAAAUAGUGUCUACUUAUUGGUCCAAUUUCAUACAUGGUGUCUACUUAUUGAUCUAGUUUCAUGAAUAGUGUCUACUUAUUGGUGAAGUUUUAUAAAUAGUGUUUAAUUCUUGGUUCACAAACACGGAGAUGAAUUUUGGUCCGGAAAGGGUUCUGAUGAGGAAUUGUAAGCGAGUUCCUGGAACCAUGUUGAGCCCGAGAGGGUUUCAAUGAGGGAAACGCAUGUUCGGAUCGAGGAGAAACCUGAGCCUGUUCGACCUCCACUAGUGUGAUCAUCUCUUGUUCUAGCUCCUAUGAGCUCAUAAAACCUGUUGUCAAAUCCAGCAUUGGCGCAAUCUUCUCAUGUGAGGACGAAUUCAUAGUUGAAGGGGUUUGGAGUGAAGCCAUUGAAGCAACUGAAGUCAAAGGCGAAGGACCCAAACAAGAGGGAUAUAAGUAUGGAGGAGAAGCAAAAGUUGUGAAUUGGGUUGCAGAGUUUGCCUCAGGAGAAGAUGGAGCAAGUUGUGAAGAUUAUAAGGAAGAGGAAUGGGCAUUUGAAGCAAGAUGAGGAUGAGAUUGAGCUUGACAUUGAGGUCAUUGAUACGAAGACCCUUUGGGAGUUUGAUCGGGUUGUGACGAAUUGGAAGAAGAUGGUUAGCAAGAUAAAGCGGCAAACAUUGAUGGGCAACACCAACAACAACAACAAUAGCAAGUUAGGUUUGUUAGUUUUUAUUUUAUUUUUUUUAUUAGUCUUUUGUCCUUAUUAUUAAAUAAAGUUAGUGGGUGGUUUUUGAUUAAAAUGUAAAGAUUUGAAACCAUUUUCAUUAUUAUUUUUUUUAUUUGUCAUAUUGAAAACACAAAACCGAAGCGAUUAUUAGUAUUAUUAUUAUUUUAAAACAUCAGCCUUAUUGAAUACACAAAAUUGGAGUGAUUAAUUCAUUUUCCUUCAAAUUCAUUCUAGAACUGUCUCACAGAAAAAUCUUACCACAAAACACUAAAUACGUCUCAUUGAUACUGAUAUUUUUCGUACUUUUGCAGAAAUGAUGCAAAACGUCAGUGACACAAAUUAUAGGAGAUUGUUGACACACCCUGACCCGGAAAGACCACUUGGACUCCAAAUCGAGUUGUGCUGGCAGACACCAAGAGGGUGACGAAGUCAUAAAGUAUAGUGAUGUGGGAAAAAUGUGAAUAAAUUUAAAUCUAAAAGUGUCUAAAUACGAGAGUGCGCUGCGAGCAGAAAUGAACCCAUUUCACACGUGAUGUCAGAGCAUAAUAAAGUAUAGUAGAGUGGAUUGAGAAUCAUACCAUUGAAGGUAAUCUCCAAUACCAAAAUUUGUCCCGAAUCCUUGACAAUAAGAAAGCUCAGCUAAAAAAAAGCUGGAGGGUGGAAACAAAGUAAGGGUGAGUGGCCCUGGAAAUAAAAUUUUAAUAAAAACCUUCUAAAUCGUUAUAACCCCUCCCUGUAACACCUGUAUAGUUUUAAAAAAAAUCAUACCACAUAUCAAUGUAAAAUCAAAAGUAUAUCAACAGUAAAUCCAUAAAUAUACCACAACACUGCAUCUCAUGAGCAAUAUAAAUAAUCAUGUGCUCAAUAAAUCAAUGCUAGUACAUAAGUCGGAGUCACCUAUAUUGACCUGUACGACUCAUCCAUAUCUCAUCAAUCAAUGCUAGCACAUAAGUCGGAGUCACUUAUAGUGACCUGUACGACUCCCCUAUAUCUCAUUAGUCAAUGCUAGCACAUAAGUCGGAGUCACCUAUAGUGACCUGUACGACUCAUCCAUAUCUCAUCAAUCAAUGCUAGCACAUAAGUCGGAGUCACCUAUAAUGACUUGUACGACUCAUCCAUAUCUCAUUAAUCAAUGCUAGUACAUAAGUCGAAGUCAUCUAUAGUGGCCUGUACGACUCAUCCAUACCUUAUUAAUCAAUGCUAGCACAUAAGUCAGAGUAACCUAUAAUGACCUGUAUGACUCAUCCAUAUCUCAUCAAUCAAUGCUAGCAUAUGAGUCGGAGUCACCUAUAGUGACAUGUACGACUCAUCCAUAUCUCAUCAAUCAAUGCUAGCACAUAAGUCGGAGUCACCUAUAGUGACCUGUACGACUCAUCCAUAUCUCAUCAAUCAAUUAGCACAUGAGUCGGAGUCACCUAUAGUGGCAUGUAUGACUCAUUCAUAUCUAUGCUAGCACAUGAGUCGGAGUCACCUAUAGCGACCUGUACGACUCAUCCAUAUCUCAUUAAUCAAUGCAAGCACAUGAGUUGAAGUCACCUAUAGUGACCUGUAUGACUCAUCCAUAUCUCAUCAAUCAAUGCUAGCACAUGAGUCGGAGUCACCUAUAGUGACCUGUACGACUCAUAGGCAACCUGUACGACAGUGUUGGACUUGUCUAUUCAUUGUAACCUGUACGACUAUGUCGGAGUUGCCUAUAUAGCUCAUCUACCAAUUCUUGCACAUGAGUCAGAACCACUUAAUGUGGUAUGUACAACAGGCUGGGUGUAAAUAAAUACGCUCAAGUGCUACGAUCACAUAAAGGCUAGGCCCUGUCCUCAGGAAGAGCACUAACACCGAGGUGCAGGAUAAUGAGCAUUAAAUGCAUAAAAACAUAACCAUACACAUUGAAAUCACUGUUAUCAACAUGUACUCACGUAAAGCUUACCGGGGCAUCCGUAGUGUCAUUUGGCAUAACCACUUUAACGUCCCAACACUUUUAAUCAGAACUAAAUCCAGUGAUAAACCAGAAUAAAAUCAUGGUUAAUCUCUACGCUGUUAACCAUCAUAACUUCUUUCCAUAAAGAAACCAAGUACCAUGUUAAAUUUGGAUUGUUUUAUGGCUGCAUCUAACAGUCUUGUUAGAUCCACAUCUCAGAUUUCCAAUUCGUAACAUCCAAAGAUAUACAUUGUGCUUCCAAAACAUCAUACUAAAGUUUCAUUACGAUCCAACGUUGGAUCUCCUCCAAUUGCCAAUUCAAGUGGCGGUCAAUGUUUUAUUUUACGAACUUACAAUUCCAAUUUGGGAAGAUCUGUACGUCAGAUUCCCAAUCUGGAAGUUUCUAAUAUCCUCAAAUAUUACGUACUAUAAUGUAGUGGCGGACCAUAAUGGGACUAAGUUCAAACGGUUGGAUCGUCGGUUGUUGUAAUAAUUAAAUGGCAGACCAUAAUGGGACUAAGUUCAAACGAUGGAAUUUUGUCAAUCAGACUUAACAAACGGAACCAAGGUAAUCAAAUUUAGCCUAGGAAUGUCAGGGGACCUCUCGGCCCACGCGCCGCCGUAGGUGGCGGUUGGCCGCCUCGACUUGCCGGAAAAUUUAACUAUUUCUAAAAUUUACCAAAAUUCACAGAAAUGCAGUUCUCAAAGAGAGGAACAACUUUCAUACCUAUCAUGAAGUCCAAAAGUGAACGGAAGAUAGUCAAUUUUGCCUACAAAGCCGGCGGGUACCUAAAGCUUCCCGGCGUCAAUUCGUCGUCUACGGUGGUCCAAUAAGGUCAAGGUUGGUUAAGAUUUUCUCUUGGGAUGAUGGGCUACAAAGCCCAAAUGGUGGCAUCGGCCAUUGUUUUGCCGAUUCGUCGAAAAUUUGAAAAUGGUGUCUGGAGCACCGCGAGAGCCAUCAACUUUCGUGGUCUCAAACCACCUCAUACAAUGGUUAAUCAAGGUGGUUCUUGGUUGGGUUUUGUAGAGGGGAAUUAGAGCUUCGAGAUGGUUGUGAUGGCGUCGAAAAACUCCACCAGAGUUGGCCAGAAUCGGCCUUGGAAAAUGGGAGGUCGCAGAGGUGUGGGUGAUGGGGAAGCUAGGAGCUUUCUCCCUUUUGUUUUUUUUUUUUUGAUCGGCUGAGGCUUUCCUUCCUUUUAUGUGAUUGGUCCUUUGUGCCUAAAAUUUGAUUGGGCUACAUCCUUGAAGGAGUUAAAUUAAUUUACAAACUGAAAUAUAAAUAACCAAAUUCAAAAGUUUGUAACUAUAUUGUUAUCAUCCGGACUCGCAAACAGCUUUCGCUUAUGCGUUCGCACCAACAAGUACUAUAAGGAUACGCUAAAAGAAUAAGUCAUACGUUCUUCUUGAUCAUGGUAAACGAAAGUCAAAGUCCUUCCCUCUAGGGCAUUUUUGUAAAUUCACACUUUUAAAAUUAAUAAAAACGUAAAAUUAAGAACGGGUUAUCACAAUUUUUUUUUGUUGAGAUUUUCUCCUGGGAUGAUGGGCUACAAAGCCUAAGUGGUGGCAUCGGCCAUUGCUUUGCCGAUUCGCCGAAAAUUUGAAAAUGGUGGCUGGAGCACUGCGAGAACCGUCGACUUUCGUGGUCUCAAACCGCCUCAUACAAUAGUUAAUCAGGGUGGUUCUUGGUUGGGUUUUGUAGAGGGGAAUGAGAGCCUUGGUGAUGGUGUCGAAAAAAAUCCACCAGAGUUGGCCAGAAUCAGCCUUGGAAAAUGGGAGGUCGCGGAGGUGUGGGUGAUGAGGAAGCUAGGAGUUUUCUCCUUUUUUUUUUAAUUUUUUGAUUGGCUGAAGGCUUUCCUUCCUUUUAUGUGAUUGGUUCUUUGUGCCUAAAAUUUGAUUGGGCUACUUCCUUGAAGGAGUUAAAUUAAUUUACAAAUUGAAAUAUAAAUAACUAAAUUCAAAAGUCUGUAACUAUACCGUUAUCAUCCGGACUCGCAAACGGCUUUCGCCUAUGCGUUCGUACGAACAAGUACUACAAGGAUACGCUAAAAGAAAAAGUCAUACAUUCCUCUAGAUCAUGGUAAACGAAAGUCAAAGUCCUUGCCUCAAGGGCAUUUUUGUAAUUCACACUUUUAAAAUUAAUAAAAACGUAAAAUUAAGAACGGGUUACCACAAUUUUUUUUGGUUGAGAUUUUCUCCUGGAAUGAUGGGCUAUAAAGCCCAAGUGGUGGCAUCGGCCAUUGCAUUACUGAUUCGCCGAAAAUUUGAAAAUCGUGGCCGGAGCACCGCGAGAACCGUCGACUGUUGUGGUCUCAAACCGCCUCAUACAAUGGUUAAUCAAGGUGGUUCUUGGUUGGGUUUUGUAGAGGGGAAUGAGAGCUUCAAGAUGGUGGUGAUGGCGUCGAAAAACUCCACGAGAGUUGGCCAUAAUCGGCCUUGGAAAAUGGGAGGUCGCGGAGGUGUGGGUGAUAGCUAGGUGCUUUCUCCCUUUUUUUUUUCUUUUUUUUUCUUUUUUGAUUGGCUGAAGGCUUUCCUUCCUUUUAUGUGAUUGGUCCUUUGUGCCUAAAAUUUGAUUGGGCUACUUCUUUGGAGGAGUUAAAUUAAUUUACAAACUGAAAUUUAAAUAACCAAAUUCAAAAGUUUGUAACUAUACCGUUAUCAUCCGGACUCGCAAACGGCUUUCGCCUAUGCGUUCGCACCAAAAAGUACUACAAGGAUACGCUAAAAGAAAAAGUCAUACGGUCCUCUAGAUCAUGGUAAACGAAAGUCAAAGUCCUUACCUCUAGGGCAUUUUUGUAAAUUCACACUUUUAAAAUUAAUAAAAACGUAAAAUUAAGAACGGGUUGUCACAAUUUUUUUUGGUUGAGAUUUUCUCCUGGGAUGAUGGGCUAUAAAGCCCAAGUGGUGGCAUCGGCCAUUGCUUUGCCGAUUCGCAGCAAAUUUGAAAAUGGUGGCCGGAGCACCGCGAGAACCGUAGACUUUCGUGGUCUCAAACCGCCUCAUACAAUGGUUAAUCAAGGUGGUUCUUGGUUGGGUUUUGUAGAGGGGAAUGAGAGCUUCAAGAUGGUGGUGAUGGCGUCGAAAAACUCCACCAGAGUUGGCCAAAAUCAACCUUGGAAAAUGGGAAGUCGCAGAGGUGUGGGUGAUGGGGAAGCUAGGAGCUUUCUCCCUUUUUUGUUUUUUUUUUUUUUUUGUUGAUUGGCUGAAGGCUUUCCUUCCUUUUAUAUGAUUGGUCCUUUGUGCCUAAAAUUUGAUUGGGCUACUUCCUUGAAGGAGUUAAAUUAAUUUACAAACUGAAAUAUAAAUAACUAAAUUCAAAAGUCUGUAACUAUACCGUUAUCAUCCGGACUCGCAAACGGCUUUCGCCUAUGCGUUUGCACCAACAAGUACUAUAAGGAUACGCUAAAAGAAUAAGUCAUACGUUCCUCUAGAUCAUGGUAAACGAAAGUCAAAAUCCUUGCCUCUAGGGCAUUUUUGUAAAUUCACACUUUUAAAUUUAAUAAAAACGUAAAAUUAAGAACGGGUUAUCACAAUUGUAAUUUUCUAUAAUAAAAAAAACAUUUGCCCAAUUUUUUUUUAUAUUUCCCUUAUUGAAAAAAAAACAAAAGGGAUUUAAAAAAAAAAAAAAACUACCUACCUUAUUGAAUAUACAAAACUAAUGUGAUUGAUUCAUUUUCCUCAAAUUUCAUUCUGGAACUGUCUCAUGCAAAAUCCUAAAUACGCUUCAGUGAUUCCGACAUUUUUCACACUUUUAAGAAAUAAUAGACAGAGUUCAAGCAAGUUUCCAUAAGUUCAAGCAUUAUCAAUUUCGCAAAAGUGAGUUUCAAAGUAUUGAUAUUUUUGCACUUUUAGGAAGUAAUAGAUAGAGUUCAGGCAUUAUCAGUUUCUGUGUUUUCCAUGAUCAGUUUCAUGUCUUUUAGUUUAUGUAAAUUAUGCAUAUUAGGAAGUAAUAGAUGGAGUUCAAACAAGUUUCCACAAGUUCAGGCAUUAUCCAUUUCGUGAAAUUCAAUUUCAGUGUUUUCCAUGCUCAAUUUCACACCAUUUAGUUUGUGUAAAUUAUACAUAAUGUUAUUCUGCAUCUCCCUUUUGUGUGAAAAAUGAUUAUGCAUCCACCAUUUGCGAAAAAUGAUUCUACAUCCACCAUUUGUGCAUUUAUUUUUUGUGUGUAAACUAGUUUUGCAUCUACCUUUUGGAUAAUCAGUACACAUGUCAAUUUCAUAUUAUAUGUUCAAAAUAAUCAGAUUAAAAUCUUUAGUUCAUUGAUGCAAUUUCAUUUUCAUUUAAUUCAAAAUUAUUUAUUAUUGUUUCAUUUUUACGAAGAUGUCGACAAGAGAGCAACAUUACACAACAAAAUGGAAAACAUCUCUAAUCCAUCUCCUAGUAAAAAGCGUAGAACAUCAUAUGAGAACUAUGCUCAGAUAAGACUGAAUCAAAUGACUUUUGCAUAAAUAUUGCAACAAGUCAACGAUAAAAAUUGUAGGGGAUUUUAAUUUUCUAUAAAAAAAAAAAACCAUUUCCCCUAAUUUUUUUAGCACAAAACCCUAAAUAUACUCUGUAAUGACCCGUCCCUAAAAAUUAUGGUUUUUAUAAUUUUAAUACGUGGGAUUACGAAAAUGCCCUUCGGGGCAAGUAGGUUGACUUAUGUUGACCACCUUGUCAUGUCAUACAAGGUUCAUUUUCUUGGCGUAUUCGGGUAGUACUCGUUGACACGAGCGCGUGGGUGCAAACGAAACGUGAUUUGGAGUUAUAACAAAGAUCCUAGGAACCUUUAAACGUCGAUGGCAUUUUGAUAAUUUGCCAUUUGAAACACAUGUUGUAUUUGGAGUAGUGUGCCAUGUGGGAUCCACAUAUUGGUCACUAAUCUUCUUGAACUCUCCUUCUCCUCUUUCUCUCCCAUCACUCUCUCUCGGCUCCCUUUCUUCCUGUGGAAACCAAACCAGCACAAUCAUUUUUCCAGUGAAUUAGACCUUGAAAACAUCAUAAUCAUGUCCCUAGCAUCCCUAGAAUUGCGAAUCCGUAGUUGGUUUCGAGAAUUUUUGUGGCCAAAGGCAAGUUAGAAUUCACUUUUUGGAGCCAUGGGUUUCCCUUCAGUUUCAGAUAAUUUUUUGCCAUAUCUUGAACUCUAAACAGGUAUAGAUCGAUUCUUCUCGUCGAUUAGAUAAAUUUGCAUGUUUGGAUCUCGUGAUUUGGUUGAAAAAUGAGAAAGUUAUAACGAUUUAAGGUUUGGCCAAUUUCCGGCAAACCAGUGACCUUCCAGACCAUUUUCUAACCAAACCACAGUGAGUUAGCCAAUGUGCAAGGUACCAAUCUCUUCAUCUCAUAGAAAAAUAUUAUUUCCGUUUUUGAAUCACUUGAUUUUGUUGAGUAUUGACAAAGUUAUGGACGUUGAAAGGUUGCCUAGAAAUUCCGGCGAGUUACUAGUUUACCCACGGACAACCAUCUUUGAGGCCAUUUUUAUGGCCACCUACGGCCACCAUUUGGACUCCAAAGAUUGCCCAGGAAAUCUACAAAAUCUGCAAAAUCCGGCGAAGUUUCAUUAAGGUCCGCCACUUGAUUAGAAUAGUAAUUGACGAUCUGACCGUUGGAUCGUCACCAAAAUUUAAUACAUUAUAGUAUGUAAUAUUUGAGGACCACAGGAACUUAUGAAUCGGGAAUCCGAAGUACGGAUCUUCCCGAAUUGGUUUUGUAAUUUCAUAAAAUAAAAUGGUAACCGCCACUUGAAAUUGUAAUUGGCGGAUCCAACAGUGGGAUCAUAAUGAAACUUUAGUAUGUUGUUCUAGAAGCUUUAUGUGGAUCUUGGGAAGUUCCGGAUCAGAAAUCCGAGGUGUGGAUCUUUCGAAUUGAGUUAUGUAGGGUUGUGGACCUUACCAUCGAUCUUUGACAGACAAUUGACUUUUGGUCAAUGGGUUUCAAUUCAUUCUAGAGCGUCCUUGGGGAUGUGUUUCAUGUAAGUUACGUGUUCUAUUGAUAAGGAUUUUGAGAUGUGGUUUGAUAAUUGUUCUAAACGCCGAUCAUUCGUGACGCCUCGAUAUUCUUGUUAGGGAGUUGAAGCACGGACUCCAGGUGAGUGGGUUUUCUUCCUUUUUAUAGUGUGUGUGUAUAUAUAUAUAUAUAUAUAUAUAUAUAUGAUUUACGGUUUCCAGAAAUAUUUUUAUAUGAAUUAUGCUUUGAAUGCCAUGUCGUGACUGAAUUAUAUUUUUAGUAUUUCAUUACUAUUGUUAUGCAUUAUAUGGAAUGAUGUUGUGAAGACUCAAGUAAGCUUCAGGUGAGUAUUAUAUGAUUGAACGGGUUGAGUUGCAUUGGUAUGCAUAGAUGCAUUUAGAGCUCAUCAUUGCUGCACCCCAGUGUUAGUGCUCUCGCCCGAGGCCAGGGCAUAGUCCUUCAUGUGAUGUUCACCUCCCGCACCGCACGCUCACCUUGGAUUUAAGUUUGGUGCUAGCCCUGUCGUACAGACCACAAUAGGUGGUUCUGACUCGUAGGUGACCUGCGAUUGUUCGCACAGCCUUCACAUGAUCAUAGCACUUGAGCGUACAUAUUACACCCAGCCCAGUCGUACAUACCACAAUAAGUGGUUCCAACUCAUGUGCUAGCAUAUACUGAUGAGCUAUGUGUCCAGUCAUACAGGUCACAUUAGGUGACUCUGAAUGGCAUAAUAUUUUAUAUUGAUUUCACCUGGCUUACAUCUUUUAGUGCGGAAACGUUAUGGCAUGGCAUACUUUAGUUUUUACUGGACUUGUGCAUUGGUUUUCGUAUGUAUAUACGUAUUAUUAUUUUCUGGAAAUUGUACAGGUUUUACGGCGAGGGGUUAUGAUGUUUUCAAAAGGUUUUUAUUAAAACUUUAUUUUCCGGCCCAUUCACCCUUGUUUUUUGCCCAUCCAGGUUUUAGCUGCUGAAAGUUCGUAUCGACGAGGAUUCUUGGCGAAUCUCAGUAUAGGUGGCUGCCUCUGAGGGUAUGAUCCUUACCCACACUACUGUACUUUACUUAUGCUCUGAUGUCGCGUGUGAAAUGGGUUCAUUCCCGCUCACAGUGCACUCUUGUUUUUCGACACGUUUAAGUUUAAAUUUAAUCACAUUUUCCUCAUCACCAUACUUUAUGGCUUCGUCACCUUCCAGGUGUCGGCCAGCAUAGCUCGAUCUGGAGUCCUAAUAAACAUUCCGGGUCAGGGUGUGUCACGCUCAAUUAAUUUUGAUGUUUUCGCUCUUUUGUAGAAAUGAUGCUACAAGUUAGUGAUAAAAAUUGCAGUGAAUUCUAAUUUUUUAUAUAUAUAAAAAAACCAAUUGUCUUAUUUUUUUUUCUUAUUGAAAACAAAAAACUGAAGUGAUUUAAAAAACAAAAAAAAAAAAAAAAAAACCAUCUGCCUUAUUGAAUACACAAAAUUGAAGUGAUUGAUUAAUUUUCCUUAAAAUUUAUUCCGGUACUGUCUCGCACAAGAUUCUUACCACAAAACCCUAAAUACGCUCCAUUGAUUUCGAUGUUUUUUGCACUUUUAAGAAGUAAUAAACGGAGUUUAGGCAAGUUUUCAAAAGUUCAGGCAUUAUCAAUUUCACAAAAGUGAGUUUUAGUGUGUUGAUAUUUUCACACUUUUAGGAAGUAAUGGAUGGAGGUCAAGCAUUAUCCGUUUUGUAAAAAACAGUUUCAGUGUUUUCCAAUUUCACGUCUUUUAGUUUAUGUAAAUUAUACAUAUUUGGAAGUAAUAAACGGAGUUCAAACAAGUUUUCACAAGUUUAGGCAUUAAUAGUUUUGCAAAAAUCAAUUUCAAUGUUUUCCAUGCUCAGUUUCUCGCCUUUUAGUUUAUGUAAUUUAUGCGUAAUGUUAUUAUGCAUCUCCCUUUUGUGCAUAAUAUGAUUCUGCAUCCACCUUUUGUGUGUAAUACGAUUCUGCAUCCACCUUUGAUGUGUAAAAUGAUUCUGUAUCCACCGUUUGUGUGAAAAAAUGAUUAUCCAUCCACCAUUUGUGUGUAAAAUGAUUUUGUAUCUACCUUUUGUGCUUUUAUCUUUUGCAUGCUUUCUGUUGUACCAAAGUCCUCACUGAUUUUGUGUAUCAACAUUUGGCGCCAUCUGUGUGAACGACACUUAUUCCCACUCUCUUCAGCUUUGUUAAGCUGGUUUCCACUAUUCGUACACUCUCUUUUGACCAGGCAUCCCUUUCCAACAUGGAGAGCGAAGGAAGCCACAUCACACAGAAUGACACCCCUCUUGCACCUGGUGCAAAGCAAUGAAAGAAGGAAUAAAAGAAGUUUGCGCUUCGGGCUAAAGUCGAUGAGCUGGAGGCUAAGAAUAACAAGAUAGCGAUGAAGAAUGAGAUCCUGUAAGAGCAGUAUGAGAAGGUUUUCGAAAUGCUCCACGAGGCUAAAUAUACUAAAACACACGAGCUCAUCACCCAUGUGGAAGUCAACCAUCAAUUGGGUGCCCCCCAACAUGGAGGGUUAUUUGCCGUCGACAUGGGUAUUCCUGUUGAAGAACGAGCUACUCAUCGAAAUGGCAACCAACAUGAGACUUCUCUCAACCCAACUGCUUCAACCCGAAGCAGAAGGAGUGGAGGAAGGACCUCCUUACAGAAGGAGUGGAAGGAUCGAAAGCCGUCUUUUGUGACUGUCGAGACUUCCUAAAGCAACGUUGAGACAAUCCCAUCCAUGUAAGCUCGAAGAUUAAUGACCUAAGGGUCUCUGAAAGACUCGGUCCCCUCCUAUGUCCCAUGCCAGCUACCAAUUUGGGGAAGGGGCAACAAGUCUUAGAGAAACACGAAGGUAUAGGGGACUCAUAGAUGUUCCGACAGACAUACCUUGGAAGUUAGUACGACGAAUCCAGGGAAAAAUCACAUGCUCUUGAUCAAACCUUCCUACUUCCAAGAGGAGAUGGAGAUUUACAAAAGAAAGCUUCAAUAGUACAUGACUCUACUCAUGACCCUCUUGAGCUACAGCUCCUUAAGGAAGUAAACAAGUUGAAGGCCGAACGACAAGCUGAGAUACCUGAUUGGAACCAACCUAGGCCUGGCCCUCUUACAAAGAGGAUCCUCGACACCCCCUCCAAGCAAAGAUAAAGCAGAAGCUUGGCUUGCAACUCUAUACUGGAAAUGAGGACCCAAUUGAAUACCUUAACCUCUUUGAGUCCACCAUGGCAUACCAGAUGCACACCGACGAAGAGCGAUGGCUUCUCUUCCUCUCCACCUUUUCUGACGAAGCUCUAAACUGGUAUUGCCGUGUUCAACCUGAGACGGUAGACUCAUUUAAGGAAUUGAGAAAACUGUUUGUUUCUCAACAUAUUUUCCAGACCGAUUGCUUGCACUCUACAGAUGACUUUUACACUAUUCGCCAGAAGCCAGAUGAGUCAUUACGUAUGUAUGCUGGCUGCUUCAACCAUGAGUAUUCCCGUUGUGCUAAGGCAGAUGACAAAACUGCCCUCAAAACCUUCACGGUAAGCCUACGUGACUGUUUCUUUAAGUACAUGAUCAAUGCCAACACUUGGAAGACUUACUCUGAGGUGAUGGUGUAGGCUUAUAACCAUGCCUCCGUCGAGGCAAUGACAUACCAAGAGAAACCUCUAACAACCAUCCCCUAUCAGCAAGUGGGAAGUGGAAGCCAGACCCACUAAAAUGAGAAGACCUCAACCUUCCAAACGACAACGGUGCAUCCCCCUGUCUUACUUAAUACUUUUCCAAGUCAACAGACAUCAACGGUGCCUCCCCCUGCCUUACUUAAUACUUUUCCAAAUCAACAGACAUAUCAAUCUCAGGGCAAAAAGAAAGAUUUCCAUCCGCACCAGUCUCAUUUUAGUAAAAGGAGUAAGGGACACUACCGCGAUAACCAAGGGUAUUGCCAUGAUAAUCCCCGACCCCAGACAGUCAACACAGUGGGUUAAGCACAUGUCAGGAUAGACCCUACCCCGAGGUAUGAGGCAUACACACCUUUGAACGCCACAUGUGUGGCCAUUUACAUAGCAUAUCACACCUGAUACCGAAGCCAAAGCCGAGGCACUCGGAUUACCAGCCUACAAAGAACACAGGCAUGUUUUGCUGCUACCACGAGCAUAGCAGCCAUGACGGCGAGAAGUGUCACCCAUCGUGAUCAUAUUGAAGCUUUGGCACGUGAAGGAAAAAUUGAUCAAUUCUUCUUCACCCUCAAAGGGGUAAUUGUAACCAAAGCCAAGUGAAUGUGAUAUAUUCCAUAAGUGGUGGCACACCCAUAUCUAAAUCUUCCAACAGGGCCAUGAAAAAUAGUGAAUGAGCUUUAAGGUCUGACCACUAAGUGUUUCACGUGGAAGACAUCAAGGGAGGCAAGUACCAAAAGCCUAACUGGGAUCUAAUAUGUUUCUACCCUAAGGAAGAAAGAGGUAUCAUCUACCCUCACAACGACCCACUGAUCGUGGAAGCUCACAUAGCCAAAUUUAAAGUACGACGAAUCCUGGUAGACACAGAGGCUUUGGUCAAUAUCAUGUUUGCUAAAGCUUUCAGGGCACUUAAUGUAGCUGAACACUUGCUCGAUCGCUCGAUUUCUCUUCUGAUAAGGUUUUCUGGUGAUAUCGUGCAACCUUUAGAGAGCAUACACUUACCUUUCACCAUUGGUACAUGCCCUUACACAGCUACCAUUACCACUAACUUCCUGGUGGUUGAUUGCUCAACGGCAUACAAUGUCAUCUUCGGACGCACAGGCAUCAAUGAUCUCAAGGCCAUGGUAUCCAUACAUAUGUUGUUGAUGAAAUUUCCAACACCCUAUGGCAAAGGUUACAUUAGAGGAUAUCAACUUAGUGCACGAUUAUGUUACAACACUUCGGUCAAGCAACAACACCUGCCUAUGCCCAAGGAAACCCUUUUCUAUACAUGACCAAGUCAUAAACCAGCCUAGACGAAGCCAACUUGGAUCUUCAUGGUGGCAACAGUCAACUCGACGAUCCUCAAGAUGACUCUUUCACCUAGCAAGCACAACCCACUGAAGAGUUGGAGAAGGUCUCUAUCUCAAAAGAUUAUCUGGAUCGCAUGGAAAAGAUUGGCACCACCUUGUCACCACCCAUUCGGUUGGCAUUGAUAUCUUUUUUGCAAGAGAACACUGAGGUCUUCGCCUGGUCAUACGAGGACAUCCCAGGCAUCUCUCCAGAUAUCAUAUGUCAUCGCUUGAGUAUUGACCCCAAGACCAAACCGGUGAAACAGAAGCGAAAAUCUUAGACGUUGAACAAUACGAAGCAAUGAAGGCAGAAGUUGAAAAACUCAAAGGCAUAGGCUUCGUUCGCGAAGUCAAUUACCCAACAUAGGUAGAAAAUGUGGCCCUUGUUAAGAAAAAUCUGACCAAAGAAAGUCUUCUACUCCAAAAGGUCUUGUGGAGAAUGUGUGUCGACUACACCGACCUAAACAAAGGAUGCCCGAAGGAUAGUUUUCCUCUUCCUCUCAUUUACAGACAUAUAAACUCUACAGCAGGGUGUGAACUCAUGAGCUUCAUGGAUGCUUACUCAGGAUACAACCAAAUCCUCAUGAACCCUCGAGACCAAGAACACAUAGCCUUCACUACUGAAAAGGGACUAUAUUGCUAUAAAGUCAUGCCAUUUGGCCUAAAGAAUGCAUGAAUGACUUAUCAGAGACUAGUCAAUUCAAUGUUUGCCGAACAGAUUGGGAAGAGUAUGGAAGUUUACGUUGAUGAUAUGCUAGUCAAGAGCAAACAUGUUGACCAACACAUCACCAAACUAUCUGAAACUUUCACCAUUCUAAAGAGGUAUCGAAUGAGGUUGAACUCCAACAAAUGUGACUUCGGCGUAGGCUCCGGCAAAUUCUUAGGCUUCAUGAUAAGCCAACGAGGCAUUGAGGCUAAUUCGGAGAAGAUCAAAGCAAUCCUCAAUAUGAAGGAACUGGUUACUUCAAAAGACAUCAGAGCCUUACUGGCAAGGUGGGAGCCUUAACUAGGUUCAUCUCUAAGGCCACAGACAGAUGUGCUCCUUUCUUCAAAGCACUUAAGGGAAGUAAGAAGUACAUUACAUAGACUGAUGAAUGUGACGAGGCAUUCACGAACCUCAAGGACUACAUGAGUAAAGCCCAUAUGCUCUCCAAACCUAAAGUUAAUGACACUCUCAUUAUCUAUCUGUCUGUAUCGGUUUCAGCAGUAAGUUUCGUUCUCAUUCGAAAUGAUGGUAAUGUCGAAUGGCCUGUUUACUACGCUAGCAAGGUCUUACAAGAGGCGGAGACACGAUACUCCAACAUUGAGAAAUUGGCUCUAGCAUUGGUCAUGUCUGCUCGAAAACUUCGCCCUUACUUCUAAGCACACUUCAUCAUCGUGCUUACCAAUCAUCAUCUUUGAUAGAUACUCCAAAGUCCUGACACUUUGGGGUGAAUGAUCAAAUGGGCGAUAACAUUGGGUGAGUUUGACAUCUCCUACCAACCAAAGCCAGCUGAGAAGGGCCAAACAGUGGCAGACUUCAUCGUCAACUUCACAUAUCCUGUUGACAUUGUUUCUACUCCUAAAGAAGUGAUUUCAUUACCCUCGGAAGCUCAGAAAAUAAAACUAACACCCCUAGCAUAGAGUCUAUAUGUUGAUGGCUCGUCCAACCAACAAGGUUGUGGAGCAGGACUAGUCUUUACGACCCCUAACAAAGUGGCAAUAGAGUAUGUUUUUCGUUUCAAAUUCAAGGCGUCAAACAAUGAGGCCAAAUAUGAAGCCCUCCUAGUACGCUUACGUUUGGCCAAACACUUUGGGGCUAAAUGAAUUGACGCUAAGGAUAGCUCCAUGGCAACAUAUCUGGCACAAACACAAUUUUUGCUCAAGCACUUCCACUACCAGAUCACCAAAAUUCCUCGAGCGGCAAACAGUCAUGCAGACUCUUUGGCUCGCCUCGCCUCAGCUGUGGAAGACAAAAUUGGGAGAAAAAUUCAAGUCGAAUUGUUGGCAGCACCAAGCAACAUGGCCGCGGAAGCGUGCAACUUACAAUAGAGGGAUAGUUGGAUUACCCUGAUUUAUAAAUUCCUUACGCAUGGUACCCUCCCAAACGAUAAAGUCCAAGCUAAGCAAAUUCGAUACAAGGCUACCCGUUACUUGAUCAUUAAUGACAAACUCUACAAACGAGGUUUUAACCUACCAUACCUAAGAUACUUUAUGCCCGCGGAGACAAAAAUUGUACUUUGGGAAAUACAUGAAGGAGUCUACGGAGAUCAUGCUGGAUCUCGAUCCCUAGCACACAAGGCUUUUUGCCAAGGAUAUUACUAGCUAACACUCCACCAAGAUGCCAUCAGAAUAUCUCGCUUAUGUGAUAAGUGUGAACCCUACGCAACUAUUCCUUACUCAUUCCUGAGCCGCUCACUUCUAUGAUCAGCCCUUGGCCCUUCGCCCAAUGGGGACUUGAUUUCAUUGCCCAAUGCCUGCAAGGAAGGGCAAGGUCCGUUGUGCAAUCGUUGCAGUUGAAUACUUCACAAAGUGGGCUGAAGUAGAACCCUUGGCAACCAUUACUAAGGCAAAAGUAAAAAACUUCGUAUGGAAGAACAUCCUUUGCAGAUUCGGCAUUCUCAAUGCGAUAGUCACUGACAAUGGGCGACCGUUUGACAACAAUAAGUUCAGGAUGUUUUGCUCUAAGUUCAACAUCAACUUAUGUUUUGCCUCCCCAACUCAUCCCCAGUCUAAUGGACAAGGCGAAGCCAUCAACAAAAUAAUCAAGCGAACUUUGAAAACCAGCUUGGACAAGGCUAAAGGUUGUUGGACAGAAUUUGUACCCUAAGUUCUUUGGUCAUACCACACUUUGUAUCAGACAUCAACAAGAGAAACCCCAUUCUCACUUACCUUUGGUACAGAGGCAGUUGUCCUAGUUGAGCUUGAGCAAGCAACGUUUCGAGUCCAGAACUACGUGCAAAGCGAAAAUGAUAAACAACUUACCCUCAACUUAAAUCUAGUCGAGGAACACAAAAACCAGGCUCACUUGAGGAAUGUCGCCUACAAGCAGCACAUCUCCAACUACUAUGACUCAAGGGUCAAACCUCGUUCUUUCAAAGUGGGGGACUGGGUAUUGAAGAAAAUAUUACUCUGCGACAGAGUCCCGAGUAAAGGAACACUUAGUUCAAACUGGGAUGGACCAUUUGAAGUUAUUGGCAUCAGUCGCCCUGGCUCCUAAAAGCUUAAAAGCUCUAAUGGCAAAACCCUUGGCCAUCCAUGGAACGCUGAUCACUUGAAGUACUAUUACAAGUAAAUUCACAUUGUACAAAUGUUAAGCUUCCGUUCGGCAUCCUAUGUAAUGAAAACUAUUUGGCAUAAAUUCAAUAAAGAGGUGAUAUAGACAAUUCGGUCCUAAUCCUCUUACAUUCCUAACAAUGAAACACUCGGGUUCAAAGCUUCAACAUGAAUGCUUCCAAGAUGAAACAAAGUCUAAGUAUAUGCCAACAAGACUAUACAAAUAAACGAAUACCUUCACAGUAUAUUUGUUCAAUCAUACAUUCCAACACAUUCAUACAUCAGAAAACUAUGCUUCGAAAGGGUUCAACAUACUUUGUGUCAUUUGACACUUGCUACAAUGUGCCUCGACACCUUGCCCUUAUUCUCACCAACCAGGUGAUGAAAUGUGAAGAAGGAACUCAUUUUCAUACCAACAACCAGGUGAGGAAAUGUACAACCUGUACUCUCUUUCAUGCCACCAACCAGGUGAUGAAACGUACAACCCUUACUCUAAUAUCAUUUGGCAACUUGCCAUUCAUGCCACCAACCAGGUGAUGAAAUGUACAACCCGUACUCUCCUUCAUGUCACCAACCAGGUGAUGAAAUGUAUAACCCGUACUCUAAUAUCAUUUGGCAACUUGCUAUUCAUGCCACCAACCAGGUGAAGAAGGAACUCAUCUUCGUGCCACCAACCAGGUGAUGAAGGAACUCACCUUCAUACCACCAACCAAGUGAUGAAAGCAACUCACCAUUCAUUCCACCUACCAGAAGACGACUGGUACAACUUGUACAUGUGAACUCCUAGCAUUCACAAAUAAUAAAAAACCCUCAAGCUUGACAACUCAACUAGGAGAGCACUUAUGCCCAACAAGAGUUAUAGUCACCAAUAAAGUCUUAUUGCAAGCCAACAACAACUUCAGUGUAUGGCAUACGAAGAUCAAGCUAUUUAGUCCUCUUGCAUCUGCUUCAGACAUUUCUCCUCUAUAACAAUGUUAACACUACAAUUCUCAAAAGCUUUACACACUCUUGAUCAAGACAGUGUGAACCAAAACCAAUUUAUGAUGCCAACAAGAGCUUCAUCAAUGGAGGACAACCACAAUUCUCAAAAGCUUCACACACUCUUGAUCAAGACAGUGUGAAGCAAAACCAAUUUAUGGUGCCAACAAAAGCUUCAUCAAUGGAGGGCAACUACAUUUCUCAAAAGCUUUACACAUUCUUGAUCAAGACAGUGUGAAGCAAAACCAAUUUAUGGUGCCAACAAAAGCUUCAUCAAUGGAGGGCAACCAUAAUUCUCAAAAACUUCACACACUCUUGAUCAAGACAGUGUAAAGCAAAACCAAUUUAUGGUGCCAACAAAAGCUUUAUCAAUAGAGGGCAACUACAAUUCUCAAAAGUUGCACACUCUUGAUCAAGACGGUGUGAAGCAAAACCAAUUUAUGGUGCCAACAAGAGCUUCAUCAAAGGAGUUCAACCACAAUUCUCAAAAGCUUCACACUUUUGAUCAAGACAGUGUGAAGCAAAACCAAUUUAUGGUGCCAACAAAAGCUUCAUCAAUGAAGGGCAACUACAACUCGUAGACAGCUUCACACACUCUUGAUCAAGACUGUUUGAAGCAAAUUAAUUUAUAUUGUUCAUCCAAACCUUCGACUACUACAAGGUGUUGUUUGCAUCACAAUCUAUUGCUCAAUAGUGUGGAAACAAAAUUUGUAUAUGUUGUCUCUCCCACAUUUUCAAAUUUCUAAUUUUCCCAAAAAAAAAAAGGAAAUUGAGAAAUUCAACAAAGCUUCAUCAAUGAAGGACAACUACAAAUUCUCAAAAGCUUCACACUAUCUUAAUCAAGAUAGUGUGAAGCAAAAUCAAUUCAUGGUACCCAACAAAAGCUUCAACUCCAAAGCUUCACCUACAAAAGCUUCAAUACCAAAGCUUCACCUACAAAGCUUCAACUCCAAAGGUUCACCUACAAAAGCUUCAACUCCAAAGCUUCAUCUACAAAGCUUCAACUCCAAAGUUUCACCCACAAAAGCUUCACCUACAAAGCUUCAACACAAAAGCUUCAGACACUCUUGAUCAAGAUAGUGUGAAGUAAAAUCAAUUCAUGAUACCCAACAAAGCUUCAACCUCAAAGCUUCUCCUACAAAGCUUCAACACCAAAGCUUCACCUAAUAAGCUUUAAAAAUAAUAAUAAUAAUAUAUAUAUAUAUAUAUAUAUAUAUAUAUUUUCGGAAAUUCAAAAAUUCGAAAAAAAAAAAUUGUCUAGGCCUCCUCUUCUUUGGGCCUAACAACUUUCAUAACAAAUAUAUAUGAAAGAGGAGUUUUGGGCUACCACUUAGAAAGGAAAUGCCUCAUUCGUCAACUCCCUUGACUGGAGACUUGGGGGACUUCUACCAUAUGCUACUACACCUUGAUACUUGGAAGUCUCACGACCACUCAGUGACAUGGAUUUUUCAAGUCUCCAACUGAGAAGUUUUCCUCACUCAGGAAAUUAAGGGAGCACUACCUCAACAUACAUGCUUCACUCACAAAGCUUCAACAAAAGAAAAAAUUCAAUGAACUUAGUGAAGAAGGCUUUGGUGUAUUUAAUAGAAUACGUUGAAAUGAAGCAAAGCUUAUUUAUUGAUAUCUCCGAUAAGUUACAAAUAUGUACAUAUACAUGAAUCAAAAUAAACAAACAAGAGGGAGCCUUCACAAAGGUUGCUCAGGAGAAGUCCUAGCAGUCGACAGAGCCCCGGAAAGAGAAGGCACCAGAGGGUGAUCAUUCAAAGCCUCAGUACUGGAAGGAGCUCCAAAAGGAGGAGACAUCAGAGGUUGAUCAUUUGGAGCUUCAUUACGCGAUACAGCCCUAAAAGACGAAGGCAAUAAAUGCCUUUGAAACAAACACACAAACCUCUGAUGAUCAAGUAAAAUCUUACCAUCAGAUUCCUGCAUCUGGUCAAGCUUCAUCUUCAUGUUUGUAGCAUAGUUAUGUGUGAGCCUGUGCAACUGUUUAUUCUCAUACUUAAACCCUCUAAUCUCCUGUUUGAGACUUAUCACUUCAGCCGGCAAUGAUUCAACUUGGCGGGUUCGAGCAAAUAGGCGUUGGGCCAUAUUAGACACAAAACCUGCACACUGAACACUAAGAGCCAGAGAAUCUUUAACAGCUAACUUAUCAGACCAUUUGGAAAGUAGUUUGUUAUCUUUGGGAGUAAGAAGGUUCCUGGCCACCACCACAGCGGUCAUAUCAUUCUUCAUCAUAGAGUCCUCAACGAUAAGAAGACUAGUAGGGGAUAAGAAUGAUGGGCGUCAUAUGUUGGCUUGAGGAGGCAUGGCUGCCUCUUCACCAAAGUUCAUGUCAAAACGAUGGUUGGAUGGGCCAGACAUUUUCAUAAAUGAUGAAGGAGAAAUGAGGUCCAAUAAAUCUCUGAAGUACGAAAAUAAAGGGAAAAUUCCUACAAGCAAUAACUCUUUGAACGUACUUUUUGCACACAAUUGGUGUCCUUAUAAAAGAAAGGACAGACUCCCACCAGGAUUACUUUCUCAAAAGUCGAAAAGGCACCGCUAUCCGAAUCUCUAGAGUCAAACUCCUACCAGGAUCGCUUUCUCAAAAAUCGAAGAGGCACCACUCUCUAAAUCUCGAGAGCCAGAUCCCCAAUAGGAUUGCUUGUUCAAAAAUUGAAGAGGCAACGCUCUUCGAAUCUCAAGAACCAGAUCCCCAACAUGAUUGCUUAUUUGAAAAUCGAAGAGUCACCGCUCUCCAAACUUCGAGAGCCAGAUUUCCUUGGAUCAAAUUUGUCACCACGUUUUCAAAGUGCUAUGACAAAGUUAAAACACGUGAAGCUUGCAGCUUCCACUACAUUGUUAUGACCAAGAAGGGUAAAUGAAUAGCAUUACUGCUUGUUGUUAGGAAUACUCUUAUAUAUGUUAACCUUCAUCCUCCAUAGACAGGCAGAUCUGCAAAAAUGUUCAACCCUUCCUCAUAUUUGAAAGGGCACUCCAAACGAAGCCUCUCGAAAUACUCAGUUUUCUUCCCCCUAAUAAUACCUAAACAAACCAGCCACACCAGAGCAAGAGUAUCUCAUAUCAUCAGGGUCAAAAGCAAGAGUAUCCCAUAUCAUGCUUUUUCCCUGUCUUUUCCUUUGCCCUUAUUUUUACCUACAAGACAAAGAGAAAUAGUGCAAUCAGUCAGCACUUAGAAUUAAGCUUCCAGUCAGGAACUGACUGCCUGGAACCCCUUGCCUGAUUACUUACCUGGCAUUGAUCUCGAGUACUCAUCUUCAACAUCUUAUGCUUCCAGAAAAGAUACCAUAUCUGCCUGAGGAACAGAUAGGGCAAGUGAGAAGGAUACAAGGAAGCAUGUGGAGACAAGCGUAAUAGAACACGUACCAAUAUAUCCACUACUUUGUCAACAGCAAAAGUAUCUCAUAUCAUCAGGGUCGAACAUACUCUAGAUUUGUUGGACUUGUUUUGACCCUCAAAUUCUUGAGUCGGCCUUAUACUCUGGAGGAAACCAGAAAACCCUCCAGCUCAGUUCAAGAAUAAGCCUGUGGAAAGUUACUUUUUCAAAAGUAAAAGUAUCACAUAUCAUCUCUUCUCUUUUUUCUUCUCUUUAUCCUUCUUGCUGCUUGCAAGAUAAGGAGAAUAAGAACAAUCAGCCGGAACUCAAAAUCAAACUUCUGAUCUGGGACUGAUUGCUUAGAACUCUGAUUACUUACCUUGUCUAUCACCUCUUUCGGCAAAUCUACUAGCUCGGCGACUUGGGGGACUCUUACUACAUGGUUUGUAUCGUGUUUGACCAAGCCUGAAACUACUAGUAAGCUUCAAGUCAAAUUGAUACACUACCUUAUACAUCUCCACCGGUUAAAGAUACCACCCCUGGAUGGAGGAAAAGUACUUCCAGAGAAGAUGCCACAUCUACCUAUAAGACAGAUAAAGCAAGUGAAGAUGAUACCACACUUCGGUACUUAGAAGUUUCAUGAUUACUCAGUGGCUUGGAUCUUGCAAGUCCCCAACCGAAGAGCUUCCCUCACUCAGGAUCUUAGGGGAGCAUUGUUUGUACCAUACAUGACCAAUCCCGAAACUACCGAGCACCGGUCAACGUUAUACUGUCAAAGACUCAUAAGAGUUUCCCUUAAACCAGGAGGCCAAUCACAGCGCUACACGUGUCAACAUCAGAAGCCAAUCAUAGCGCGACACGUGUCAACAUCGGAAGCCAAUCACAACACGACAUGUGUUAAUGUCAGAACAAAGCUAGAAACUCUCUUCUAUAAAAGGAGAUCAUUCUCCCACAAUAUUUCCUAAUGUCAUUUGUACUAAAUGAUUCACUAGUACUCACAAAAUGAGAGCUUGAACCUAUGUAGUUGUGUAAACCCUUCACAAUUAAUGAGAACUCCUCUAUUCCGUGGACGUAGCAAAUUUGAGUGAACCACGUACAUCUUGUGUUUGCUUCCCUAUCUCUAUCCAUUUACAUACUUAUCUACAUAGUGACUGGAGCAAUCUAGCGAAGGUCACAAACUCACUUUCUGUUGUACCAAAGUCCUCACUGAUUUUGUGUAUCAAAAGACAUUAUUAUAUGACACACCAUUUGAUGAGCUCGUAAAAGCAUAUUGACAAAUACUUAUGAACAGUUAAAACAAUAAGCAGACAUUUUAGAGUCAAUUAAAGAUGCAUUUGCUGCUGGGAAGAAAGAAGGGAAUGAAGAAGCGGCUUACCCAGUCGUAUUGUAUUUUCUAUUCAUGCUUGUCCUUCGAAGUUCAGCAGCAAAACUACCUUAGAGUUUUGUCAAAAGUUGCAACUCCAUAUAAAACAACAAACAAUACAACUGGGCAGAAGAAAUGGCAAGGUACUUAUUGACUCACUCGAUAGAGCACAAAGCCGGAAGAAAGAUAAACGAUCAAUCGUCAGUGUCUCUGUUGUACUUUUGUUGGUAAGCAAAUAAAAACUCAAUCAGUUUCUAUGCUAUUUUAAAAAAAUAUAAAAAUGCAAAAUGUAAUCAAAAUAUUUUCUUUAAUUACAAUAUUAGGUUUGUGAUCACAUGAAUAUCAUCGAACCAAAAGAAGGAAAUGAGACAAGCUUAGCAACAUCAAUCAAGUGGGAUUUGUCAGCUCUGUAUAGUAAAUGAAGAGUUGGAGGUAUUCAAGUGGGAUUUGUAAAUUGAGUCUGCUGGAGGUAUUCAAUCAUGUACCUACACCGAAAAAGAGAAAAUCUGGGAAGAAAGGUAAAAAAAAACAAAACAAAACCAAAAGCCAAGAAAGCCAAAGCAGCAGAACAAUUGAUUUUGGAAAAAGCAAAAGAACAAGUUGGUAUGGAACAUGCAAAACAUGUAGAACAUACAGAACCUGAACAUGCACAAGAUCAUCAGUAUAAAGGUGACAAAAAUGAUGAUAGUGAUGAAGCAAUGUCAGAGUUGCUGGAAGAGGAUGGUAACAGUUUGACAGUGUCUCAAUGGUUGAAUGAAAAACAAAGCCAAGAGCAGCUCCAAAAGGAAAAUCGAGCACAAAAAAAAAUGGUAAUCCCAAAAACUAAUUCUACUUCAUGAUGAUAAAGCUUUUGAGCGUAUCUUUUAUAUAUAACUAAUUAUGAUUUUGCAUGGCUAGUUAUUAGGAUAAAGUACCUUUGCAAAUCUUACAUUGAUCCUUUUGAAAUGUCUUGCAAAUUUUACAUUGGUUUAAUUUAAAUGAUCGGGAAAAAAGAGCAGGCUAAGAUGUAAAUGAAGAUCACUUUCAUUCAGGAUGAUAGUCAGAAUAACUUUGGCACACAAACACCGAUUGCGCAAGUCCAAGAUGUUAACAAUCAAAAUCUUAAAUGCAAAGAGAGAAUUGCAGACGUCAUUGACAUGGCCUUAAUUGAAAAAAAAAGAGAAGUAGAAAAGAAGCAGUUGGAAAAGAAGAUAAAUGAAUUGCAAGAAUAGAAUAAAGAACUGCCAGAGGAGAAGAAUGAGCUGCAGUGGAAGAUGGACGGAAGAUUAAUGAAUUGCAACGGAAGAUGGACGAGAAGAUUAAUGAAUUGCAAGAGGAGAAAAAUGAGCUGCAACAGAAGAUGAACUAUCAAAAUAAUUAUCAAUUUACCAAUGGUUAGACAAAAAUAUCACAUUUCCAAUUAAUUAUCAAUUUACCAAAAUAUCCUCAACAUUCAAAACGUUAUAAAAUCUUCAUUAUAAUUCUGAAUCACAUGACGUUUGAGCCCACGCGUUCAUAUCGAUGAGUACUAUCUAAAUAUAUAAAGAUAAGUGAAAAAAAUAAAUAGGGAUCAAAUAUGCUAUAAAUAUAAAAGCAUCGAAACUAAGAAUAUGAAAUACAGAAUACAUAAUUUUAAACAGUGAAAUCCGGGAACCGGAUUUCACAAGUACGAUGUUGAUUAAAAUUGUUGAAUGGCUAUGGUAUGGCUAUAUUGAUGUUAUCUGCUCGUCAUUGCAGUACCUGGUGCUAGUGCUCGCCUAGGGCCAAGGCUAGUCUUUCAUGUGUAUGUUCACAUCCACACCGCACGCUCGCAUUGGAUCCAAGUAGGUGUCAGUCAUAUCGUACAUGUUGCAAUAGGAAACUCCGACAUCUUGUCGUACAGGCUGCAAUAGGCAACUCCGACUCGUAUGUGACCACGAAUAACGACAAUCUUCAAGUGAUUGUAGCACCAGAGUGUAUAUUAUGAUUACACCCAGUCCUGUUGUACAGGUUGCAUUAGGCAACUCUGACUUGUGUGCUAGCAUAGAUUGAUGAGCAUUAGUUCAGUCGUACAGGUUACAUUAGGCGACUCCGACUUAUGUGCUAGCAUAGAUUGAUGAGCAUCUGAUUUUAUUAUGCUACUAUUGAGAUAUUAUGAUUGGCAUAUUUCUGGAAUUAUUGUUGACUUGCAUUUGAUUUCAUACUUAUACGUAGUAUGAUUUUCUGGAAACUAUACUCGUUUUACGGCAAGGCGUUAUAAUGUUUUCAAAAGGUUUUUAUUAAAACUUUAUUUUCAAGUCCACUUACCAUUGUUUUUCACCCUUCCAGGUUUUAGCUGUUGAACUUUUGUAUUGACGAGGAUUCUUCGUAAAUCUCAGUAUAGGUACCUUUGAGGGUAUAAUUCUUAUCCUAUCUUAAUGUACUUUACUUAUGCUCUGACAUCACGUGUGAAAUAGGUUCAUUCUUGCUCAUCGCUCACUCUUAUAUUUAGGCACUUUUAGGUUUAAAUUUAUUCACAUUUUUCACAUCACUACACUUUAUGGCUUCGUCACCUUCCAGGUGUUGCCCAUCACAGCUCGAUUCAGAGUCCUAGUGGACAUUCGAGGUCGGGGUGUGUCAAAUUAGAUGGAAAUGUCUUUAAUUGGCUAACAGAGAUAAACACAAGGACUAAAUUGGUCAAAUUAAAAUACAAAGGCUAAAUUGACCCAAUGAUUAAAACAUAGGGACCAUUUUAACAUUUAAGCCUUGCCUUAAGGAUAUCUCAAUUUGCUGGAUUUGUUUUGCUCAAUUUUGCCGGAAUUUUCGGUCCAUUGGGAUUAAGCAAUUCCAAGUCCUCUCUCUAAACACUAAUAAUGAAAAGAAAAAAAAAAUUAUAGCCUACAGUAAAAUUUGAAUCGCUGUUUGCUUUAUCAUCUCUAUUUUUAAUAAAAAUUAUUUUCAGAGUAAUAAUUACUUUUUUAAAAUUUGUUUUUAUCCACAUGGACUUCUUCUUGUCCUUUUUUAAGUGUUUAAUGAUUUAUAAUUUUUUUAUUGUUGUAGGCCUAUUCGAUUGAACGGUCUAGGGUUUAGAGAGAGAGAGGGGUUCGGCAAUAUUGAGAGAGAAGAGAGAUUGAUUUAAUUGUGAGGUAUGUUUGAUUCACCCCAUUGUGCCUUUAUUUAUAGUAGUAGGAAAGGUAAAACCUUUCCCUUUAGGAUUACAAUAUUUAAUAGGUAAUCUAAUCCUAAUAGGAAUAUAAGAUACUUUCCUAGAUUCCCUAGGAUUUACAAAAUCACAUUCCUAUUCUAAAUAUGACUGCAACACUCCCUCUUGAGUGUGUAAAUGCUCAACAAACCAUCACAUUAGAUCUUCAGUAGAUAAGAUAGAAUAGUUGAUGAAGUCAUCAACACAAAGGCUGAUCGCGAGUCUCAAAUUUAAGUGAAGUACGCAUUUGUAGUAAAACUCACAAAACCUCACUAUGGUAAAACCCAAGGCAUGGGGAAAACCCAUAGACUAAGGAGAAAAGUGAGAAGUAUGCAUAUGUUUAAAACGAACGUCAAACUGGACGAAGGUAGUAAACUCAACGAAGUAUGAUCAUCCCAAGAUGGGUGUCUCAUUAAAACCUCGUUAGGUAGCAAAAACCUAGUGGGAAAAAAUGCUCCUAAUUGUAGGAAAAAAAGUACAUUAAGAUCAUGUGAGUAUGCUUCUAGAUACUCCCCCUGAGUUAGACAUAACUUCUAAAUAAGAAAACUACAAGUUAUUCAACUUAGAUAAUGUACGCAUAUUGAUUCCUUGGAUGAGCUUCUGAAAUGUAGACUUGGGCAAUGACUUGGUAAAGAGAUCGGCCAGGUUGUCCUGGGAACGAAUUUGCUUGACUUCAUUGUUCUGAUGCUGCUGUUGUUGAUGUGAGUAAAAGAACUUUGGCGCUAUGUGCUUGGUGUUGUCUCUCUUGAUGUAUCCCUUCUUCAGCUGCUCAAUACAUGUUGCAUUGUCUUCAAAGAUCGUCGUAGAAAGGUCAACGAUUAAUGUAAGACCACUAGUGUUUUGAAUAUGUUCCAUAACUUCUCUCAACCAAAAGCACUCACACGAUACUUCAUGUAGGGCGAGAAUCUCAGCAUGGUUAGACGAAGUCGCAACUAGCAUUUGCUUGGUAGACCUCCAAGAUAUAACGAUGUCUCCAACAGUAAAGCAUAACCCGUUUGAGAACGUGCUCUCUAUGGAUCAGAUAGAUAUCCAGCAUCUGCAUAACCAACAAGGCGAGAAUCAAUCCGAGGGCCAUAGGGGGCGGCAACACUUAAAGAUUCGCGGGUAUAGAACAAACCCAAAUCUGUAGUACCUUUGAGGUAGUGGAAAAUGUCUUUAACACCAUUCAAGUGCCUGCAUGUGGGCGCAUUGCUGUAUCUAGCCAAUAGAUUCACAACGAAUGAGAUAUCGGGUCUAGUGAACCGAGCCAAGUACAAUAAAGCCCCAAUUGCACUUAGGUAAGGAACUUUGGGUUCCAAAAUCUCUUCCUCGUCCUCCUUUGGACGGAAGAGAUCUCGUUUAGCAUCUAGAGUUCGAACGACCAUGGGUGUACUCGAAGGCUUCGUUUUAUCCUCAUUAAAACAUCGCAACACCUUUUGGGUGUAGUUCGAUUGAUGUACUAGGAUUCUAUCCGAACAAUGCUCGAUCUUCAAGCUGAGAUAAUAUCAAGUUUUCCCAAGAUCCUUCAUCUCAAAUUCUGAUUUCAAGUGUGUAGCAAUUUCCUCAAGCUCUACGAGAGUCCCAAUGAGGUUCAUGUCAUCGACAUAAACUGCAACAAUUGCAAAUUUGAAAUGUGACUUCAUUAUGAACAAGCAUGGGCCUAGUUUGUUGUUCACAUAACCCAGACUUGUCAAAUAUUCACUUAGACGGUUAUAGCACAUCCGCCCAGAUUGUUUUAAUCCGCAGAGUGACCUCCUCAACCUAAUUAAGAGAGUGUUCCGUGGAUUAGAACUAUUUGAACCAGCCAAUGGAAGUCCUUCUGGAACUUUCAUAUAAAUUUCCAUAUCUAGAUCCCCAUAAAGAUAAGCGGUUACCACGUCCAUAAGCUGCACAUUCAGUUUUUCAGAAACUUCCAAACUGAUUAAGUAGCGGAAUGUUAUAACGUCCAUUACGGGGGAAUCCGUCUCUUUAUAAUCAAUCCCUGGGCAUUGAGAGAAGCUUUGCGCUACGAGACGUGUUUUGUAUUGCACUAUUUCAUUCUUCUCAUUACGCAUCCUCACAAAAACCCACUUGUAGCCAAUGGGCUUCACGCGUGGUGGUGUAGGAACGAUAGGUCCAAAUACCUUACGUUUCACGAGCGAAUCGAGUUCGACUAGGAUUGCUUAAUUCUAGUUUGACCAAUCGGUUCUACGUCGGCAUUCAUCGAAGAAACGUGGUUCAAUGUCAUCGAUGAGCAUGAUGUCAUAGCUACUGAGUAUGCGAAUGCAUCGUCGACGAUCAUCUCAUUCCUAUUCCAAACCUCAUCCAAUACUAUGUAGUGGAUCGAAAUCUCGCAAUUCUCGAGAGGCCGGCAUGUUUCAUCUAAAGCAUCACUGUAAUCUAGAAUAACCUCAUGUGUUGGAACGGAUAAGUGAGCGAUGGUCGGAUUUAAACUAGGGUCACUAGUUGGUGCCAUUCUCCUCUUCUGAGGUUGUGAAUCCUUUAAACCAAGGGGUCUACCAUGCUUCAGGGUUAUAGCAGAUGAUUGGCUAGCCACCAAUAUACCUUGUCGCGUGGAAGGUGCUGCCUCCCUAUCUUAGGGGAUUGUCCAGCCUUCCCAGAUGGGUUGUUGAUGUACAAGGGGUACAUCUAUCUUUACAGGUGUGUUUGCAACGGGUAUGUGUGAUCUUGUUACCUUUGCUAGAUCAUUAAAAGCAUCCGACAUGCUUUGAGCAAUGCUCUAAAGAUCUAUAAUUUAAUGAACCUCAGUUUCAGAUUGGACAGUGCAGUGAUCUAAAUGAGACAUAAUGGGAGCAUACCACGACAAAUUGCGGCGUUCUACAGGAACGUUAGCAUGUUUAUCCCUCCUAACGAUGGGAAGACUGUCUCAUCAAAGUGAUAAUCCGUAAAACGUGCAGUAAAGAGAUCUCAUGUCAAGGGUUCUAAGUAGCAAACAAUUGAUGGCGAAUCAUAACCGACAUAUAUUCCCAUUUUUCUUUAAGGACCCAUUUUGGUACGUAGCGACAACGCUAUUGGAACAUAAAUGAUGCACCCAAACACCCAUAAAUGGGAGACGUCAGGCUCAUAUCCAGUGACCAACUGUAACGGUGAAUGUGGUUCGGUAGCGGUGGGCCUCAGGCGGACCAACAUAGCUACGUGUAAUAUUGCAUAGCCCUAGGCAGAUACCGGCAGUUUGGUUCUCAUAACCAAAGUCCGAGCUAUCAAUUGAAUGCGCUUUAUGAAAGCUUCUGCCAGGCCAUUUUGGGUGUGAACAUGGGGCACAAGAUGUUCCACAUUAAUUCCUACUGAUAUGCAAUAAUCGUCAAAAGUCUGUGACGUAAACUAUCCAGCAUUAUCCAAUCGAAUUGACUUGAUCGGAUAAUCAGGGUGGUGAGCCCGUAGCUGAAUGAUUUGAGCUAGGAGUUUUGCAAACAUGGCGUUGUGUGUGGAUAAUAAGCAAACAUAUGAUCAUCUUGUUGAUGCAUCAACCAACACCAUAAAAUAUUUAAAUGGUCAGCAAGUUGGUUGGAUUGGUCCACAAAUGUCCCCUUGAAUCCUCUGAAGAAAUUUAGAGGGGUCGUGAAUAAUCUUUGUAUAUGGGGGUUGAGUAUUCAACUUCUCUAAAGAACAGGCUUUGCAUGGUGGGAGUCCAACAUAGGGAUGUAACUUAUGCCCAUGUGAAGAUUUGAGGAUACGUCGUAUUAUGUCACGUCCAGGAUGUCCCAAACGAUUAUGCCAAAGCAACAAAUUGUCCGAGAACUCAGGCAUAGGGCCGGCCACACUAUGGGUUUCUAUGCCGCAAAUGGUUAUGAUGUACAACCCAUUCGGCAAACGUUCCACCUUCUCGUGAAUAUGCUUUUAACCAUGAUCUUCAGUGGUUUCAAGAUGAUAUUUAUUAUCUCGAAUAUCUCUAAAACUCAGCAACGUUCUUCCGGAACGUGGAGAAUAGAGUGCCUCCUUAAUGGUCAGAAUUGUACCAUUAGACAACAUGAUACGUGCCUUUCCGUAUCCUUCAAUCAGGUUGGAUGACCCUGAGAGAAUUGUCAAAUUAGCUUUCUUGGGUAUUUAGUUAGUAAAAUAGUGUCGUUCACGCAAGAUGGUAUGCGUGGUUGCACUAUCUGCCAGACAACUAACUUCCCCACUAGACAUAUCUAGAAAUAAAUUGAUUGAAUUGGUCACAUGUAUAAAUAUAAGUCCAUUCAUUCAAUUAAGCAAUUCGAGAAAAUAAUAUCCAUUCAAAUAACAAUCCAUAAUUCAAAACCAAACAAAUUAUUCCAAAUACAUAGAAAAAUUGUUCAAAAUUAAACCAUAAACCUAGCAAAAUAGGGGGUAGGGUUGGCCACUCCUAGUGGGUUCGGCCACUAGGGGUAAACACCCUAAAAACAUGUCUAAUUUAUUCAUCGAUGGGUGAUGACUCCUCCUGGAAAUCCGAUAUCUCCAUUGAUGUAGUUGCAUCUUUCAGAUGAUCCACAUGUGCAAAGUUAGACUCACGACGAUAAUGAUAUUUGGCAAUAGCCUCAGGGGAAGCUCAGCAUACGCGUGACCAAUGAUCCCUUGAUCCACAACGAUAGCACAUGUCAAGUUCAGUAGAAGCAGUCUGAACGGGAGUUUUGCCCUUGUUCUUGAAGUUUGGGACCUUAGGGGCGAGUAGACGCUACCGGGUCACAUUUCUUCCCUUAGGUGCGACAUUAUGUUGACCUUGGGCCCGUGGUCGAGCUUGAUGAUUCUUCAUCAAAACUGGUUCUGCUUCUCAGCGAGAGGUAAAACAGAGAUCAAAUCCAAAAACUUGGUGAAUUUAUGUGCCCUAAAUUGUUACUGUAAGAUAAUAUAGGUGGCAUGGAAGGUCGAAUAGGUAUUCUUCAAGAGAUCUGAUUCGGUUAGUUCUACUUUGCAGAAUUUCAACAGACAACGGAUUCUACAAACUUCAGAAUUGUAUUCAUUCACAGACUUAUAAUCUUGGAAGCGAAGAUGCUGCCAGUCGUGUCUUGCUUCAGGCAAGUAUAUGUCUUUCUAGUGAUUGAAAUAGUCAGCCAGAACAAGCCAAGGGGUGCGUGGGUUCUCCUCAGCGAGAUACUCAGUCUCCAGUGCAUCAUGAAUGUGUCUUCAGAUGAAGAUCAUUGCAGUAGCCUUCUGAGCUUCGUCAACAGUUUUGUCGGUGAUAGGUGCCUCGAUGGUGGCUCUAAUACCCUUUGCAGUGAGAUUGAGCUUCACGUCUUGAACCCACUUCAGAUAGUUUCUUCUAGAGACUUCUAGAGCGGAGAAAUUGAGCUUGUUCAAGUUCGACAUGUCCCUAAAACAGAGGGAGAAAACGUGAUUAGUCAUAUGGUAAGCCAUAGACAUAUAUCGUAGAACAUACAGGUUCUAUAGACAUGUAGUGGUUUAAUUUAUGCAUGAAAACUACGGGUUUUAUGUGGUAUGUUUUGAAUGAAAACUUCGAGUUUCAAAGGCACUAAAUUUGAAACUAAAAGUUCAAUUUAGUUUUAUGAAUAAUUAGUUCAUAAUGAGAGGUUCCUGCAAGAAACACAAAAUACAAUAUACUAAUUUGGAUAUAGUGGAUUUGAGGUUCUCUAGGAACUCAAGUGUAAGAGCUUCGUUACUACGAAAGUAUGUGACAGUUCAAAGUAUAAAAAUAAAUUAUUGCAUCGUUAAUGUCCAAAAGUGAUCUUCAGGUCAAUAAUUUUGGAUUCAUUAUCAGAUUAAUGGAUUGCAGGUCACUUUUAAUUAAUUCAAUAAAUCAGGCCAUAUCGGGUCGAUUGUAAAAGCUAAAUAAUAUUAUUGGAUAAAAAAUAUAACCCCAAAAUAAUUUGGGCUUAGUGCCAUGAGUAAUAUGGCACGGGUUUGGGUGCCUUAAGCAUAAGGUAAGGCCCAAAGGACCUCGAGUGAUGGCUGCAGGUCACGGGUGAGGAAGGGAAACCACAACCGCAGUUGGGUUUCAAAUUUGGACCGAGGGAGAGGGGCACGGGAGCAAGCUCAAAAGCUUGCGGGUUUGGUGCAGGAAGACCAGUCGAGAGGGUUGACUGCAUGGGACACGGGCCGUGGGAAAAUUCUAGUUAAUUGGGCUGGAUUGGAUGCUGGUUGAGGUAGGCAGUAAGCCCAACAACCAUAAAGGUUGUGGCAUGCAGGAGUGGACCCAGCCAAUCUGGGCUGGCAGCGUUUUGGGCGUGAGAGGCCCUGCCGAGUUGAAAUCCAGGCUAAGGCCUGGUGCUGUGUCCAUAGUGAUGGUGCAGUGGUAUGCCGCACCAUAUCCCAUUCCCAUAAAGUUUUCAAAAUCCCUUAGGGUUUAGGAAACCCUAAAUAUGCUUCUAAUUUAUUUUAUAUAAUUUGACUCACAAAUUCCAUAUAACAAUUUAAUUGUGCGAUGCAUGAAACAAAUAUAUAUAUUGACAAAUAUAUGAACAUAUACAAUAUAUAUAUAUAUAUAUAUAUAUAUAUAUAUAUAUCGAAAGGAAAAUAUAAACAUAGAGGGGUUCAUGCAUCAUGGGAAAUGUUUUCAUGCUUCGUGGACGUUUCAAAUAUCAUUUUUUUUUAAUUUUAAGCGUACCUGAUUAGCAGAAAACGAAUAAGCCUUUGAAUUUGGUGGAAGAUAGCCUCCUCCAACGAUGCUUCAAUUCCUCAGCUUCUGGCAAAAGCGUGCUGAUAACGUGUUGUAGGCCUAUUUGAUUGAACGAUCUAGGGUUUAGAGAGAGAGGGGUUCGGUAAUAUUGAGAGAGAAGAUAUAUUUAUUUAAUUGUGAGGUGUGUUUGAUUCACCCCAUUGUGCCUUUAUUUGUAGUAGUAUGAAGGGUAAAACCUUUUCCUUUAGGAUUACAAUAUUUAAUAGGUAAUCUAAUCCUAAUAGGAAUAUAAGAUACUUUCCCAGAUUUCCUAGAAUUUAAACAAUCACAUUCCUAUUCUAAAUAAAAGGGAAAUUUUAUUUGAACCCGACAAACUUCUUUCCACACCCAACUUAAAUAUUUUUUCCAUUAAACUCUCCACAUUACACCUAAAUUAAUGCGAGAUAAGAAAAAUAUAUUGAGAGGAGAUGAACCCAUAUCAACCCCACCAAUGCCCGUUGCUUUCCGAUGUCUAAUUCACCAAGGCGGGUGAAUCUUUGUGUCAGCGUCUUCUCUUUUUAGGCUUUUUUUUUUUUUCCGUUCUCUCUGUUUCCAUACUGUAUUCUCCUCCUCCUCCUCUUUAUUGCUCACUUCCUUCAACUGACAAAUGCCGAAAGCAAAUUGGGGCCUACACAGUUUUCGAGUAUUACAGAGUCAGUGACAUGGAGAAUCACAACCAAGGGUACCUCUGUGUUGUAUGGAAGGCGUUAGAUGUCAAAGCUUGUGAAAGGUAAAUGGGCUGCCAUGGAAGGUAGAAGUUGCCUUGAAAAAUCACCAGCAAAUCUCUAGUGGGGUUUGAGGGAAAGGGAUCCUCUCCGGAGAGAUCCCUUCAUUCUAAUCCACCAAGUCAGGAGAUUCGGGCCAUUGAAAUUUAAUCUAACGGCUAAAGUUAUUAUAACUUUUGAAGUGGACACUUAUUUGUAACUGUUGGAUCAAAUUUCAAUGGACCGGAUUCCUGAACUUGAUGUAUUAGGAGGAAAGGAUUCGGAGAGGAUCCCUUUCAGGGUUUGAGGUGGAAAUGACAAUGGGUGUAAAAAGACAUUUUCAUUUUGUUUUUUGUUUUUCAGUUUUAUACAAGGGUGAAUUAGAAAUUUGAAUAAAAUAUUUUUAGAAUUAAGUGUAAAAAGAGAUUGAAUGAGUUUUAAUAAAAUUUCCCAAAAUAAAACUCACUCAAAAUUUUUAUAUUAAGCAAACAAUACAAUGCGUUUUUCCGAGUAUAAAUAACGGCCAAAAUAAAAACAUUAAUUUAUUAAAAAACUAUAAAUACGGAAAUCUCCAACAUUUUCCCUCUCAACUAAAACCCUAGCCUGACAGUCUUCGUCUCUCUUUGACCAGUCUGAUACUGAAUAACCAAGCAAUCGACCUCUCCGGCAAUCGCAUCUUACGGCUCUCGAGAGGCGAUUGCUGCAACAAUCGAAUGCGAUUAUGGCAGGUGGUUCAGAUGUCGCCGAACCAGCUAGCUUGUCCUGUGCCAGUUGCGGCAAGCCGGCCCAUCUUCAGUAUGUCAAAUUUUCACUUCCAACUUUUCAAUUUCAGCUACUUCUUCCUCUAUUCUGUUAAUUUCUAUAAAAAGGUGAAAUUUUUUGUACUUUUUUUGUGGUGGAUCAAAGACUGGUAACAAAUAUUGUUAUUUUAGUGAAGCUAUAGCGUUAGAGUGUUAGAUAGUUUAGUUGUAGGCGGAUGGGAAUCGGUGGGGAUCGAAGUCGCACAGGGACAUAGGCAUAAUUGCUUUCCACCACUGCAGCAACAAAUUUUGUUUGGAAAAAGUGAAUAUGUUUUAGAAUAUUUGGAAAGUUUGAGGGAGUAGAGAGUUUCCAUUUCAAUUGAAAAAUAUUUAAUCUUUGUGCUUCUAAGUGUGUAAAUUGCUUUGAUUAUUAAAUUAAAAAAUGGUACUUUAUUGUGGGUGAUUUGUUACAUUCUUGAGUGGUACUUGAUUUUUUGUAUGCAGGUGUCCCAAAUGUGUGCAAUUAAAGCUCCCUCGCGAAGCUGCUGCUUUCUGGUUUGUAACAACUUCCUUCUUUAUAUAAAUGCCAGUCCAAUUUCUAUACAAUUUUAGUGGAAAAAUUUGGUGGUAUGUAGUGAUUGUCAGUGAGUCAAGCAUUUCGAGUGUUAAACUUCAUUAAGGAGUUUUGAGACAUGGACACUUCGAUUUUACAAAUUAGAUUGAACUUGUUAAUAGAAGCUUGAAAAUGAUUUAUUCAGUGUUCAUAAUUGAUGAAAAUGUGCUUCUCUUAACAGCACUCAGGAUUGUUUUAAGGCUUCUUGGAACUCUCACAAAUCCGUGCAUCUAAAAGCCAAGUCGUCUGAAGCUGGGUCGGGUACUCCAGAGGAAGAAGGCUGGCUAUAUUGCUUGAGGAAAGGACAAGCUCGAACAGCAAAGCUUCCGUAUUUUGAUUGGACUGGGUAUGUUUUUAUCAUUUUCUUUGCAUUUUCAUUCAUAUUAAUUGUUGUAGAUUCAUUGGCUUUAUGGUUCUGAUGCUUGCAUUAUUUCUUUUAGGAUUAGAAAAUUUUGUAUCAUGUUAAUUGCUGAUAACAUUGGAUGAAACAAAUUUUGUAUCAUGUUAAUUACUUAUAACAUUUGUUGAAGCCGUUGUUCAUUCCUCUCUUGUGCAGGGCACUGAGGCCGUAUCCUAUAUCUAGUAAGCGUAUAGUACCUGCUCAUAUUGAUCUGCCUGAUUGGGCAUCCGAUGUAAGUUGUUGGAAUCAUUUUUAAUGUAUUUUAAAUGGCCAAUUUGAGUGGUACCAUGCUACAUUUUGUAGUCAUUUCUGUCAUUUUAAUGUUGGCUUCGUAUAACAAAAUAUUGCAGGGGAUUCCAAAAGCUGAGCCCAAUAGUGAUCUGCAGCGCGUUGUUGAGGUAAGCGCUUUCUUGAAACCCUCUUGAGUCAUACAUAAGGAGUAGAUCUAUGUGUUAUUGAGUUAGACUUUCUACUUUUUAUAUUGUACUUUUCCUUUAUACUCAAUUCAUUUUCUUAUUUCAAAAUGAUGAAUGAUAUAUUCAUUUUGAAGAUCAAGACGGCGGAUCAAAUUGAGAUGCGAGAAACUUGUCGAGUAAGAUUCAAUUGCUUCUUUCUUUCUAUUCCCCUUAAUUUUGUGCUAAUGAAGCAGUGUGAGCCUUCUUGAUGCCGUAUUAUUUCACUUUUAUUAUCUGUUGUACUUUCAGCACUGCAAAAAAAUUAACAUGUGCUAUUUAUCUGAAUGUGAGACAAUGUUAUUAUACCGUUUUGAAUAUGUUCAAGAAGAAUUUUCUGUGUUCAGUUUAAAUUUUAAUUAAUCUUGCUACGGCAUGUAACUUUUAAUUUACUAAUAUUAUGAUAUUCUUGUCAUAAUCGUUUUGUUAGAUUGCAAGGGAGGUUUUAGAUGCCGCUGCUCGUGUAAUACGGCCUGGUAUCACAACAGAUGAAAUUGAUCGGGUGGUCCAUGAGGCUACUAUUGCUGCUGGUAUAGAAUGAGUUUCCCUUUUAUUUAGAAUUUCAAUUACUAUGUUUCAUUGUCUAUUAUUGUAACUGUCUAUGCCUUUACCUUUUAAGUCUAUGGCCAAACCUCAUUGAUCUGUCAUAUGCUUUGGAAUGGCCAUGUGGUUAUAAUCAUUACUAUCUGCAUUUUUAUAUUGUUCAGAAUAAAAAAUUGUGGGUGUAAUGAUGUUUCACUUUUAACUCAAUGCAGGUGGAUAUCCAUCUCCUCAACUACCAUUUUUUCCCCAAGUCUUGCUGCACGUAGGUACUUUUUGCGUAAAUAUUUUUGUGAAGUUUCUUGAGAUUGUGUGGUACUGACCUUGCAAUUGCGUCUUGUUAACUCUCUUCAUUGCAGGUCAGUCAAUGAAGUAAUUUGCCAUGGUAUUCCUGAUGCCAGGUAUGCGUUUGAGAUUUUUUUUUAUUUGAGAUUUUGUUUUUAUUUUUGUUUGGAAGAUGGUAUUGAAAAGGAAUAUGGACAUACUCUUACUGUUGCCUAUAUAUGUAUUUAUUGAAAACAUUUGUUGGUGUAUGUUGUAAUUUUGUUUCUUGCCAGUUCAGUUUUCGGUCCUGAAAUACUAUUGUUAUGGAACAACACUUUGGUAACUUUAAUGAACUGGCAUGAGUUUGUAUUGCGUUGGGGUACAUUACCUGAGAAAACGCUUUGCUUUUUGCCUGCAUCUUUUUCUUUGUUUUUUCUUUGUGUUUAAAUUGGUCCAGAACUUGAAAUUCGUGUCUACUUUAGAAUAGUUAAAUCCCUUGGUUUCUAGCAUUAUGACCUUUUUAUGUUUAAUGCGAAACUUUUGCUCCAGGAAAUUAGAGGAUGGUGAUAUAAUCAAUGUUGAUGUGACUGUGUAUUAUAAAGGCGUCCAUGGUAAUUUGUAUUCUAGACAGUAUCAUGUAGUUCAAUUUUGAAAACACGUGUUCUAUUCUUGAACUGCCGAACUCAUAUUGCAGGUGAUUUAAAUGAAACAUACUUUGUGGGAAAUGUUGAUGAAGAGUCUCAACGGCUAGUCCAAUCUACUUAUGAGAGCAUGGAGAAAGCAAUAUCCAUCGGUACGUGCACAGUAUGAUAUACCAAUUUUAAGAUAAAUAUCUCUCCCUGAUCUCCCUUUUUAACGCAUCCAUCACUAAUUAUUGCUUUAACAAUCAUGCAACUCAAUUACAUCACUGAAAGUCAUCACACCUUUUAUCAGCUACCUAAUAUUCAUUUAUAUGGUAUACUAAUCGUUUUAUCUGAUGUGCUUUUUAUUACUUUUGGUACCAUGGAAGUUGUAACUUGUAAGUAAUCAUUGUUAAAAUGUAUUUGUGGUUGUGUUUGCGUAAUUGUAUCAGUAAAUUCUGUGAAGAUUUUUUAGUUAUAAGUGCAAUCUUGUCACCUGACCUGAUGGUAACUGAAAUGUUGAAAAGUCAACCUAUUUAACCCCUAUUUGAGAGUGCACUCUGGUAAUUUCAAUCGUUGUUAACAAAAAGCAUAAAAGGGAAAGUAUAUUUCUAAUUUAUUUAUUUAUUGAUUUUUGUACAAGUGCAGUAAAACCUGGAAUGCGAUUCCGUGAAGUCGGUGAAGUCAUUAAUCGCCAUGUAACAACAAUGUCGGGAUUCUCUGUGUGGUAAUUUGUAGCUUGAGUUUUGAGUUGUGAUGCAGUUUCAAUUUUAACAAAUCAUGCCUCUUAAUUUUGUAUUGCACCAACA